rnacentral:lncRNA from 1 species
GCAGCCGUUGCCUCCCUCCGCCUCACUACUUCUCCUUACACCCACUCUCUACCCUCCUUUUAUCUCUUCACCGCUCAAACCCCCAACCGAUUCCAAACCCUACACCUUAGGGUUUAUCAAUUUCAAUCUCUCUCUCUUUUUCUGAAAAAUUCAAUUUAGGGUUUUCGUCACUGUAACAGAGGCUGACCAAUUUCCAAAGAUGUCGAAGAGAAAAUUCGGAUUCGAAGGCUUUGGCAUAAACAAGCAAUCAAGCUUCGAUUUCGAGCGGUCACAGCAAGCCCCUCAGCGGCUCUACGUCCCUCCGUCGUCUCGCGGCGGAAACAGCCACGACAACUUCGAAGACACCGACCUCGACAACAUCGAUUACGACGACAACGAUGGUUCCAAUGACCCCGGGAAUGACAACAGCCACGGCGACGGUGGCGGCGGUGACGAGGAAGUAGAUCCUCUGGAUGCUUUCAUGGAGGGGAUUCACGAGGAGGUGAGGUCAGCUCCGCCGCCGAAGCCGAAAGAGAAAGCCGAGAAGUACAAGGACGAUGAGGAGGAGGAUCACAUGGAGAGUUUUCUGAGGGCUAAGAAGGACGUGAUGCUCACGCUGGCAUCGGAUGCUUUACACGCCGGAUAUGACUCCGACGAGGAGGUAUAUGCGGCCGCCAAGGCCGUCGAUGCCGGGUUGUUGGAGUACGAUUCGGAUGAUAAUCCCAUUGUUCUUGACAAGAGGAAGAUCGAGCCAAUUCCAGCUCUCGAUCAUAGUUCAAUCGACUACGAGCCUUUUAAUAAGGAUUUUUACGAGGAGAAAGAGUCGAUUUCAGGUAAAUUCCAUUCAACCAACUGAGAAUUUUGUUUUGGUUUUUCUGAAUUUAGGUGAAAUGCGUAGCAAAAUAUUUAAAUUUGAGUGAGAGAGAACAUAGAUUGGUAGAAGUUCUUAAGGAGAAAUUUGAUUUGGAAGACGAAAGUUAACUGAUGUUUUGUUUUCGUUCUUUAGGGAUGAGUGAGGAGGAUGUUUUUGAGUACAAGAAGAGCUUGGCCAUCCGUGCGUCGGGUUUUGAUGUGCCAAGGCCGGUCAAGACAUUUGAAGACUCUGGAUUUUCUUCACAGCUGAUGACUGCCAUAAAAAAACAAGACUAUGUAAAGCCGACACCGAUACAGUGCCAAGCUCUACCCAUAGUUCUUCCGGGAGAGAUAUCAUUGGUAUUGCGAAAACUGGUUCUGGAAAGACUGCUGCUUUUGUCCUUCCAAUGAUUGUCCACAUUAUGGAUCAGCCAGAACUUCAAAAAGAAGAGGGUCCUAUUGGAGUGAUAUGUGCACCUACUCGAGAGCUGGCGCACCAAAUAUACUUAGAGUCCAAGAAAUUUGCUAAAUCACAUGGGAUACGUGUCUCUGCUGUAUAUGGUGGAAUGUCUAAGCUUGAUCAGUUCAAAGAACUUAAGGCAGGAUGUGAAAUAGUUGUUGCUACUCCCGGGAGAUUAAUAGACAUGCUUAAAAUGAAGGCACUGACAAUGAUAAGGGCAACUUACCUAGUACUUGAUGAGGCUGAUCGGAUGUUUGACCUUGGGUUUGAGCCUCAAAUUAGGUCUAUUGUUGGUCAGAUUCGACCAGACCGACAGACAUUGCUCUUUUCUGCAACAAUGCCUCGUAAAGUUGAAAAGUUGGCUAGGGAGAUUCUCUCUGAUCCUAUAAGAGUUACAGUGGGUGAGGUGGGAAUGGCCAAUGAGGAUAUCACUCAGGUUGUUCAUGUAAUUCCCUCUGACGCUGAGAAGUUGCCCUGGCUUCUUGAGAAGUUACCUGGGAUGAUUGAUGAGGGUGAUGUUCUAGUGUUUGCUUCAAAAAAGGCUGCAGUGGAUGAGAUCGAGUCACAGCUUGCACAGAAAGGUUUUAAAGUCACAGCUCUGCAUGGUGACAAGGACCAGGCAUCUCGGAUGGAUAUUCUGCAAAAAUUUAAAUCUGGCAUUUACCAUGUUCUUGUUGCAACUGAUGUUGCUGCCCGUGGUCUUGACAUCAAGUCAAUUAAGUCAGUUGUGAACUUUGAUAUUGCAAAAGACAUGGACAUGCACGUCCAUCGAAUUGGUAGAACAGGUCGUGCUGGUGAUAAGGAUGGCACUGCAUACACUCUUAUUACACAGAAAGAGGCACGUUUUGCUGGUGAGUUGGUUAAUAGCUUGGUUGCUGCUGGUCAGAUUGUUUCCACGGAGCUCAUGGACCUUGCGAUGAAGGUAAUUUUGCACUACUAUUAACAAUUUUUUGUGGUUUAUAUAGUGAGUUUAUGCAUGCAUCCAACUAUGUUAAUGCCUUCUUGUUUUGGAGAUGUUGGUUAUAACUUAACCAUAGUUUUGUAAUCCUAUAAUGCAUUUAUGUUCUGGGGCCAGGCACUUACAAGUUAUUAAUAUGGCCUCUGGUAAAAUGUUCUCUUUAUGCAAUCCGGACAAUUACACCUACAGGUGUUUGCCUCACAAAUAAACUACAUUACAUUCAAUAAAGGUGCAUAGGUUGCUUCUGAUUUAUAGUGCACUUUGAGAGGCCAAGAUGGAUUUGAUGAACCAUAUGGUCUUCAAGGCCAUAUUUAGAAAAGCUUCAGUAUGUCCUGCAAUUACAGGGAUCUUGAGAUCUUUGACUUAAUAAUGUCAAGAUAGUCAAUUUCUGGAAAAGCACUUAGUUUAGAUAGAGUAACUAGACGGUUUUUAGUAGUCCCAUCUGUACUUCAGACCAUGGUCUGCAUAGCAAAGGAGUUGUUAGGGUGUAUUUUGGCUUGUUGUGUUGUGGAUUGAUUCAUAGAGAUGAAUUGAAAGAUGAAGCUCGGUCUGGGGACUUAAAUACUUUUUUAUGUAUUAUAAAGCACCUUGGUCCUCCAAAUACUCGCUCGCAUUCUGGUCUGCCUAUAUGUCACUUGAGGCCAACUAAUUUGCAUUUGACAACUAAGAGAUAAUUGCAUUUUGAGUACUAAAUCACAAUUACCAGUCAUGAACCUUUAGUAAAUUGUCACCCAUUUUCCUUUGCGCCAAUUUAUUUCAUAGGCAUAAAUGCACAGGUUAUCAUGAUAGAUGGUUGCGCGUGCAUAUGUUAGAAGUUUUAAACUACAAGAGCCGCUCAUACAUCGCUUCUUGAAUCUUGUGUCUUUAACGCUUGCUUGCUUGCUACCUGUAGCUUUUGUUUUUCGUAUCCAUCACAAAAAUACACUGCAAUACUUUCUGUAUUUUUCUCUUUAAUUGGUUUCUGUCUCCUACAUGGUUGUGCAUCUUGAUAGUUAUUUAGGGUGAAUCUCGUUUAUGGAACUUUUGUUGCUCUCCUUUACUAUGUUUGUUGUUUGAUAGCUUUAGAUGUUAGAUUUCAGAUCUUACAUGCUUCAUUUCUUAAUGGGAUUUACCUUGUUUAUUAUCAGGAUGGGAGAUUCAGGUCCAAACGUGAUUCAAGAAAAGGAGGUAUAAAGUCUGAUCAUAUUAAAAUUUCUAUCUAAGAUUCGUUUGCAAGAUAAGGAUAGUAGCUUUUACUGGAUAUCUAAAGGAGGUUCAUUGCAUAUUAAAUUAGUCUUUUCUAGAAUUUCACAUGAUGAUAUUAUAUGGAUUCUGCAGGUGGAAAGAAAGGUAGAGGGAGGGGAGGUGGUGGCGGUGGUGGUCGAGGUGUGCGUGGGGUGGAUUUUGGUCUGGGAAUUGGAUAUAAUACGGAAUCCAAUAAUUCUUCAUCGCAUACCGUUGCUAGUCGACCUGCUACAGUAACUCCUGUGAGGACAGGAAUGAUGUCACAGUUCAAGACUAAAUUCGUUGCUGCUUCAUCCAACUCUCCAAGUCAAGCUUCAGGUAACAGCUAUAGUGCACCCAGCAGACCAGCAUUACGAGGAUUUGUAUCUGGUGGUUCAAUUGGUGGGGAUGUAUAUAGAACUCAGGCAACCAGUACAAUUACUCCUGCUCUUACUCCCGCUCCUACUCCCGCUCCUACAUCUUCUCAGAACUCUGGAGUAAAUGCAAAUCAGAAGCCCUCUGAAAGGUUAAUAAAGGUUCUUCUUAGUUGGAAUUUUUAAUGUCUUUUUAUGUUUUUGAUUGGUGCUGAUCAGUUUCAUUUGUUGUGUCUACUGCAGUUCUAGAGAUAAACCUAGAGAAAGGCGGAGGCGCUCUGGUUGGGACUGUUGAUCAUACAGUUGAACUGCGCCACUCUCACAUGGAUGAGAAGUUUUGUUUUUGAUGUAGAAGAUCCAAGUCCUGAUAUGCCUGUAUUAUUGUUGAUCUUGGUAAGUUUAUUUAUUUUGUUUUAGUUGGGUUCGGAAUUAUGUAUGCCUGUAUUUUUUAUUCCCUUCAUAGAAAUCGGCUUCUGCAGCUUGAUCAAUCAAUUUGGUCAAUUUCUUUCUCACUGUGUUACCAAGUUAAAAGCACAGAAGACAAUUUACUGAACUUGAUUGGCUUGCUGCACAAAUAAUGAACGAUCUACAAUAGCUUGAUCAGCCUGUCCCGUUCGUGUGUACUGAUUUAUAGCAAACCUCUGCUUCUUUUGUUAAUCGCAUCUCGAUUUCGAAAUUAAACUCUGCAAGAUUAGUCAUGCCUCCUUUUCGUUUUCAUGCUGUUGCAGCUGGAGGAAAUUACUUGUCCAGAAAUCAAAAGUUAAAAAGGACAGGAUAGAGUGUUCAAGAUCAAGUCCUCAAGUGGUCUAUACAAACGAUAUUCGAUGUUCACCCAAAAUUUUAAUUUCAAAGUAGGUAUGUUGUUGAGUGGGGAGAAGGUGAGUAGAUAUUACUUCUCUCUGUUAGAGUUAACUUGUUACUUGGCGUCACAAUUCCUGUAUGACAUUUUAUUUGAUAGUUCCUUACCACUGAGAGCCUCUUCAUCGACUUGCUUUGGAGGUUGUAGUCUAUGUUGGAUGUUUUACAGAUUUGUAAUUUAUAAGGCUUGGUUGUUGUUGUUUUCGUUGUACCGCGUGGCUGCAUUUUCCCACCAAAACUCUCCUCUCCUCGUCCAAAAACCAACAAAUCAAAGGUUUCAACUGGAGCAGAGAAGGUCACUCACCGAGCUAUGAAGGCCACUGUCGUCCGUAAUUCUUACCAAAUCAAAAGCGUGCGUGAGGCCGUCACGUAGUUGAAAUUGUAGCUAGACGUACAAACAUAGCAUUUGUAUGACCAAAGCCAAGGGAACGUAUAACUGUGUAUAUAUUUGUAUUAAGAGUAUCAAAUUAUGAGUGUGCAAAUGGGACUAGAUUCUCUUCCCUCUUCUUUCCCUCCAUCCCCAUCCAUCCCUCUCUUACAUUCUCUAUUUUGUUUUGCUUUUUUUUAUAAAAAAUUAAUAUAAGAUGUUGACGUGAUUUAACUGUCAUCGUUCAAAUAGGAGAGGAGGGAAGGGGAGGGAAAAAAAAGAGGGGAGAGAACUCUACUCCAGAUCACAUAAGGCCAUUUCCAACUGAAGGGUUCAGAGGGCAAAAAAAUGCUCGAAAUCUUUUCUUACUGAGGGCUAGGCCAGAGGGCUUGUGGGUCCCACAAAAUCUGAAAGGGCCACAGGGCUAGCCAUAAAUGUGAGUAUUCUUGUCGGAUAUAACCGACAUGAAUGCUAGGCCAAAUUUUCAAAUGCAACUGCUAACUGACGUCAUCUAGUCAUUAUUUUUGAAUUUUUUUAUAGUUUUAUUUAUUUAUUUUUUUUUACAAAAUUUUUUUCCUAUAACUUCUAUUUUUAAAUUCUAUUUUUUUUAUAACUUCCUAUAACUUCUAUUUUACAAAAUUUAUUUCAUAUAUUUUUUUUAAAUUAUAUUUUUUUCCUAUAACUUCUAUUUUACAAAAUUUAAGUUGGAUUUGAAUUUUAGUUAUAGAUUUUAAAUAAUAAAUUAUGUUUGGCCAUCGGUUGGAGAUUGUUUUUUGUGACAGGGUUAAAAUAAGCUCUAUGCCCUUUGGCCCUCGGUUGGAGAUGGAGGCAAAUAUGACUCUGUAUUGUUCAUUAAAAUAUUAAUAUCUUGAAUGAUCAAAAGGCUAAAACGAGCUUUCUGACUAGUCAUCGGUUCGAAGAUAGCCUAUUUCUUCUCUAACACAAGGAACGUGACCUGUUAUCCAUCAAAUUUCUGAACUUGAUCCCAUUCCAUAAAAAGCAUAGUGGUCCAUAGGAGACGUCCAAAAUUCAACCCUUCUAUUGGGUCCCUCUCUUCUUUAUAUAGACAUGCUCUUCAACCCAUUAUAUUUGCGCCAAUAGAGGUAGAAGUCGAGUUAAAGGUCUCACCACAGAUUUUCCUCCAUGCCCGUGACUUGAUACGUAGUGGGCCCCUUUUGGUCGCAGAGUUGGGCAGGUCAUAAAUGAAUACGAAUCUCCUUUGUGAUAACUCAUAGGUAUGUUAAUCGUGUCCGUUCAUUAUAUAUCGUACGGUUAAAAAUUAUUUUAAAUAUUUUUAUUUAAAAUCAGAAAAAUGUUAUCGAUAUUCCAAAAAUCUCAUUUUACACUCAUCACAAGUGUAUUUUUCUUUCCAAAUAUAGAAAGUUUGGAUUGUAGAAUGAGAUUUUUGGAGUGUCAAUAACAAUUCCCUAAAAUUAAACACAAACGGUACUUGACAAAAACUGAUUGAAUGAUAUACUAUUCACGAAUCACAGAUUAAUUUUCGAUCUAAAUCCAACGGCUCAAAAAUAAAGCCACCAAAGCGACCCAAGUCACCCUUCCAUGACUCCAUCUCACUCACAUCUCUCUCUCUUUCUUUUCUCUGUGAUUCUGGCGAAGACAAGCAUUUAAAGAAGAAGAGGAGGAGGACCCAGAUGAUCCAAUUCUCACAUCUGAAAAUCUAUAACAAACAAAUCUGAACACCACCAUAUCAGAUCAAACACUCCAAUAUUCCAAUUAUCUCGCCUUUUCUAGGUGAUUUUCCGAUGCACACCGCCUCCUACCUCCCUCUUCGGCCUCGAGGCGCCGUUGUCUGCGAGGCCAUCUCAUGGGCUCUCAUCUACCGCACCAACUCCUACAAGUCCGUCCGCUCCUCCAUCGACAAAGCCGCCAAGAAGCUCGAGGCCAUGAAGACUGACUCCUCCUCUUCCGCCGCCACCACCACCACGGCGCUUAAAUGGGUUACUUGGUGCUGCCCGGAGCUUCCCAGAAUCCUCGUUCAGAAGCUCUUUCGCCUUAGACAGGCCGCCACACUCGCACCCACGUUAAUUUUUUUUGAAAAUUUGAAGUUUGAUUGAAAAUUGGAAAUGGGUUUUUGAAGGUUGAUCGAAAAGUUAUCGCUUGAUUUCUGUUACAGGUUCGAAGAUAAUCAUGUUCUGGUCAAGCUGUUGAAGCACAUGAGCGCCCACUCAAAGGGGUAACUGAUAUUUGUCCCACUCAAAGGGGUAACUGAUAUUUGUCUUACAUUUCAUAGAUUUUUUGGGGGUUUUUAUGUAUAGUUUCGUUCGGGAAAUUAAAUUGAUAGCUUGUGUAAUGAAGACUAAAAAAUAUGGAACAAUUUGUAAGAGCUCAAUGUUACCAAGACAAUAAUUUAUCAUAAGAACAAUACUUACCUACUCGAGGAUGAGUUGGAAUUCCUACUCGAAACUGUUUGUGUUUGAAUCACAAAGCUUUGUGCUUAUGAUCAUAACUGUUAAUAGUAUGAAUAACCAUGUUAAGAUCAUAUUUACAAAAAAUGAAUUAAAAAUAAAAUCAUUUAGUCAACUAUUCUAUUAAUUACAUAGACGGUUCGUAAUACAUUACCAAUUCCGUUUAUUUAUUUUUGUACAGUUUGAAGAUUAAAUGACAUUAGUUUUAAUUGAUUUUGUGUAGCCAAUCUUUAUAGUGAUUUAUAAUAUAAAUGUCUUGAUCAUAAAUACGAAAUCUUAUAAAGUGAACAGUUUUGAGUAGGUCCACAACUAAAACAAACAGCUGCAACCAAAAAUUUCCCAUCUUACAAUUUUGCUAAUGAACUAGCUCAAUCUCCAUGGAUAACUUUUUCUUAGCCAGAAAAGCUUUUAUUUUUUUCUUGUGAUAGUUUCUCUUAUAGCUACGAUGCAAUAUAAUUUCUCUACAAUAAUAAUAAUAAUAAUAAUUAUAAUAAUAAUAACCUUUUGUUAACCUUUUGUCAAACAUAGAUCUUCAACAUCAUAAAAAAAAAGGUUUGCAUUUUGUGACUUUACUGUUAAUCGAAAGCUUCUACAAAAGUUGAUGUAUAAGUAGCACAAUAUGGGUUUGGAGAUUAUAAGUGAAUUUCCAAGCCUUUGUCUGUUGGGUCUAAUCUACGUUGUACAACGACCCAAAGAAUUGUUAUACACAUCAGAAGUUUACAGUUAGUAUAUCGAGAUUGAGAUGACAAUGCAAAAUAUAACGUUCAUCAGUGAUGGCAUCGGUAAAACAAUUAUCACGGGGAAUGAUACUGAGCUCCAAAAACUCACUAAAGGUUGCCGAUUCAAAAGUGACCUAACCAUCUCCACAUUUUGUUCCCCGUGUCAACUGUUUUGUCGAUGCCAUCUCUGAUGAAUGUUAUGUUCAGCAUGGUCCUCUUAAUCUUGAUGUACUCUUUGUAAAUGCCGGCCUUGACGUGUAUGAUAAUUGGUGCAGUCGAAAAUUGACUUGUAAUCUCCAGACCGGUCUUGUGCUACUUCUACAUCAGCUUUUGGUUUCGACUGCAAAAGCUUUCGGUCAGGAAAUGGAAAUCUUCUUUUAUGAUAUUGAUGAUCUAGGGUUGACAAAUGGUGGCACACUUGAGGUUGAGGGUAUAUGGUUUAGUUGCUAUAUGGUGCAGCGACUCUAUAAGAAUUAUACUGCAGCAUGAAUAGAACAGAAAAGAAGACAAGAUAAUAUGCACUGAAAUCCAUGGUUUGAACUUUGAGCUAUGAUCUUCAGAGGGCCAAAGGGGAUGCUUUUUAUAGACCAUAACUUGCCUUAUGUACAGCUUAAGUGCGUUUAGGUAGUUUUGAACUCUUACAAAAUGUUUUAUGUUAUAAAUAUGUAAAAGUUAGAGAGAUAAUCUUUACUAGUGAUAGGAGCAAAGCAGGUGUAAAAUAUCACAUUGUAAUUAUAACACAAGGGGAUGACAAAUAAAAGAGGGAAUGAUAGAUAAUGAUGUUAUUGAUAUUUCUUGUUUUUUCUGCAUAUCUUGAUAGUAGUUGGAGCGCUCUAUUUAUAGAGCAACUCCAAACAAACGUAUUAUUACAUUUUGAAUUUACAGCACACACCUUUUGAAAAUACAAUCUUCUUCAUUUCCAAAAUCCACAUUACUGUGUGGGUAUUGAAAAUUUGUGUGGGCUUUAUUAAUCUGCCAAAUAUUUUCGACACUGCCAAUGUUUUCAACACUCUCCCUUGGAUGCUCACAUAUGAACAUCAGUUGCCUCGUUAAAACCUUACUUGGAAAAAUCCAGUGGGAAAAAAACCAUAACGAAGGAAAAAGUGUACAACAUACAUGUAUCAUGGAUGCUCCUCUUGAUAUAUAUCCCCUUAAUUCCGCUUUCUCCAAAUUUAUUUGAUUGGUAAAUCGACAUAAUCCGAUACUUUGCACUAUCUUUUGAAACGUGCAUUUUGGUAGAGAUUUGGUGAACAAGUCUGCCAAAAUUUCAUUGGAACGGAUUUGUCUGACUUCAAUAAUUUUAGCCUUCUGAAGCUCAUGUGUUUAGUCUUAUUGCUAUUGGUGAAUCCUUCUUUCAUUUGGGCAACACAGACUGCAUUAUCUUUAGGUAGCGUUUGGUACGCAGACGGGAUAGGACGGGACGGAAUAGGACGGAACAGUGGUCCCAUGUUACGUUUGGUACGCGCAGGACAGAACGGAGAGUUGUUCCGUUCUGCGUUUGGUGUGCAGGACAGAGAACGGAACCAAAAUAUGAAAAUGACUAACUUACCCAUGUUCAAUUGAACUUCAGAUGUGCAAUCCGUAUCCUAAAAUGGUUACAGGUACUAAUUCUAUCUAAAAAUAAUACCCAUUUCUGCUAUUUCUUUUAAUUUCUUCAACCUAUUUGUAAUUAAUCCGCACAAAAGAACAGCUGCGACUAGACAAAAAUAAUAAUAUGGCUGAAGGGCUCCAAUUCCAGGAAUGAAACUGGGAACUCAAGGAGUUCAAAUUAAUUAUGAGAUUUUUUUUGUUAAAAAAUGAACAUGUUUUUUAAUUUUUUGAUUUUAUUGCUACAACAAACUAAAUAGAAGGGAAAUCCCAAAAUCAAGUCUUAUAUUUUGGAGGCGUGUUUUCACCAACUCAGUGUUCGUGUGUCCCCAACAAAUUGAGUGAGUUGAUGGCUGUUGCAUAUAAAGCUAGAUUGGAACUCUAAUACAUUAGGAUGGUGGGUUCCAAAAAUUUAAGAGUAUGAACAGAAAGAAAAAUGCAUCAGACCUCUUGGAAGCAAUUUUUUUUUUAUAAUUUUUUUAAUUUUUUUUUCAGUUGCAGAUCGAAGCAAUACAAAGAAAGAGAAACCGAGAGGCAGAUCAUACUUGGACUGGAGAUGCAGAGCUGAAGUUCACAGAGAAGGUUGCAAAGGGGAGAUGCAGAGGAUGAGGAGGAAGGUUGCGAAGGGGGGGAGAUGCAGAGGAAAGGAAUGAGGAAGACAGCGGCAGGCAGAAAGAAGAGAUAUUGUUUUAGGGUUUGUAAUGAUUUAGAUGGUGUAAUUUUUGAAAAAGAUAUGGGGUAUAUUUGUCUUAAAAUGGUAAAAUAUUGUGUUCCACAGGCGUGGAACAACCCGUUCCAGGGGGUAGACGCGGGACACAAAAACACCCAAAUUUUGUCCCGUGGAAUAGCGCGUUCCACCCUUUUUUGGCGUACCAAACGCGGGACAAAACGCUUCGUCCGGUUCCGUCCCGCCCCAUCCCGCGUACCAAACGCACCCUUAUGGAUGACAGUUGGAGUGUCUGUCUUUGAGGGUAGAUCACAUGAAUUCCGAAUACAAUGAAUCAUUGAUCUUAACCAAGAACAUUCACGACUUACUUCAUGUAAAGCAAGUAUUUCUGAAUGAUUUGAAGAAGUAGCAACUUAUGUUUGCUUUGUUGUGCCCCAAGAGAUUGGUGUAUCUCCAUUCUUGAACACAUAUCCAGUUUGUAAGCAGGCUUUAUGCGGAUCAGAGAGAGAACCAACAUCUGCAUAUCCAAUAAGGAUCUGGUCAUUUGUGGAUUUCUUUGAGUAGAAGAGACCUAUGUUUGUUGUCCCAUGAAGGUAUCGCAAUACAUCUUUGACUCAUUUCCAAUGACGAAUUGUUGUAGUAGAGCUAUACCUUGCUUACAAGUUGACUGAAAAAACUAUAUCUGGUCUAGUACAUUAUGCUAAUACAAUAAAGCACCUAUUGCACUCAUAUAUGGUACUUUUGGACCAAGGACCAGUUCAUCAUCUUCUUUUGGACGGAAUGGAUAUUUCUUAACGUCCAAAGAAAGAACGACCAUUGGCGUGCUUAGUGGAUAAUCAUUGUCUCUGCUAAAUCGCUUAAGGAUUUUUUCAAUGUAAACUGAUUGGUGGACCAAAAUUCCACUAGCACAAUGCUCAAUCUGCAAGCCGAGACAAUAUUUUGUUUUUCCAAGGUCUUUCAUUUCAAAUUCGUUUUUCAGAUAUUCAGCAGUUUUAUUGAGUUCUUCAGAGGUUCUAACUAGGUUCAUAUCAUCAACAUAUACUGCCACUAUAACAAAUCCAGAGUUGGAUUUCUUAAUGAACAUACAAUAGCAAAUGACAUUGUUGGUAUACCCUUCUUUGAUCAAAUACUCACUAAGACGAUUAUGCCACAUUCAUCCAGUUUGUUUUAGCCUAUACAAUGAUCGCCUUAAUUUGAUUGAGAGCAUACCUCGUGGUUUGUUAGUUGUUUCAAGUAACUUAAGUCCUUCUGGGUCUUUCAUAUAUAUGUCAGUAUCUAAUUCUCUAUAUAGAUACGCAGUGAUGACAUCCAGAAGUCGCAUAUCAAGUUUUUCUGAAACUUAUUAAGUAACAGACGUAAUUGCGUCCAUUACAGGAGAGUAUGUCUCUUCAUAAUCAAUUUCAGGUCUUUGCGAAAAGCCUUGUGCAACGAGUCGUGCUUUAUAUCUUGCAAUGUCCAAUGCUUCUGCUAAACCAUUUUGAAUAUGGACAUGAAGAACAUGGUAUUUAACAUCAAUGCUCAAUGUCAUGCAGUAAUUAUCAAAGGUUUGAGAUGUAAAUUGACCAGCAUUAUCAUGUUGGAUUGACUUAAUGAGAUAAUCUGGGAACUGUGCUCGCAACUUAAUUAUCUGAGUAAGAAGUCUCGCAAAAGCUACAUUCCGAGUAUACCAGAGACAAACAUGUGACCAUCGGAUAUAUGUAUCAACCAAAACCAUAAAAUAUUAGAAUGGUCCACAUGAUGGUUGAAUAGGCCCACAAAUAUCCUCUUGAAUUCUUCGCAGAAAUGAUGGGGAUUCAGCAUCAAUCUUUAGUUGUGAUGGUCUAAUUACCAACUUCCUUUAAGAACAACUUUGCAAGGGUUAUCAUUUGAGAUAGCAAUGUGUCUGCUCAAUAAUGGAUGUCCAUUAGAGUUGGUAAUGAUUCUACGCAUCAUGGUAGAUCCUGGGUGAUUCAAACGGUCAUGCCAAAACAUGUAAACUUUUGAAUCAAUGAACUUCUGGUUCAUAACAGUAUGUGAUUCAACUGUCUUUAUGUAUGUAUAAUACAAUCCACUCGUCAAACCAUGCAACUUCUCUAAAAUACGCUUUUGGGUAUCAUUGAAGGUAAUGCAUAGAUACUCCACAUUUUCUACACUUUUUGUUUCAAUGUGGUAUUCAUUUAAACGUAUGUCUUUAAAACUCAACAAAUUUCGAGUAGAUCGAGUGGCGUACAACGCAUUAUGUAUGGACAAUAUUGUUCCAUUUGAUAACAUAAUCUGAGCUUUCCCUGAGCCUUCAAUUGCAUCUGAUUAGUUUGAUAUUGUUGUUACUCUUACUUUUGUAAGCAUCAAUAUUGAGAAAUACUUUCAAUAUUGAAGUAUUAUAUGCGUGGUUGCGUUGUUUGCAAGACAAAUAUAUUCGCCAUUUCUCAUGUUUUGAGAAUGACCAUAGUUUUUAUCUAUGCUCUCUGAGUAAAGGGAAUCAUGGUUAAAAGCAAUUUAUAACAGGAAAUUUAAAUGCCACUUUUAUUGAAUUUGAAAUGUUAGUUUUAAAUUACAAGUUUAGUACAUCAAACAUAAAUAAUUCAGUUGGACCGGUAUACUUCAUUCCCCCUUUCCACAAUGAAGUCUGAGACAUCUAGGUGGGUUGUGUUCAACUGCCCUAAUAAGUCACACACUGGAUCAGGUAUAUCCAUUGGUUUAGCUUGAUCGAGAAAAUUGGUCUCGACAUUUGUCUCUUUAAUGGAGGCUUGAUAUAGAUCCACCGGAUGUUUUGGGUUACAAGAAGUACGCGCCCAGUGCCCAUUGCCACCACACAUAUGGCAGGCUCCUUCAGAAUUUCUGAGAGCAUUGUUUAUAUGAGCUUUGUUUUUGUGACGAUUCACAUUUUUGAAGCUCGGGCUUUAAUUAUGCCUUGUAACCUGGUUGUGAAACUGGACACCAUGAUUCUUGCCUUUCCUGUUCCACCGUCCUCACUUGUGGCCGCGUCAUCGUUUAUGAUUAUUGCCACCAGAGGAUGUGGUGUUCAUUUCGAGGGAAGUAGCGUUCACUUUUGGGAAUGGUGCAGAUCCAGUAGGUCGGGACUGAUGAUUUUUCAGCACAAGCUUAUUGUUUUAUUCAGCAACCAGGAGCACAGAUAUCAGUUGGUUGUAUUCACUAAAACCCCGCUCUCUAUACUGCUGCUGCAGGAGCACGUUUGAGGCAUGGAAGGUGCUGAAAGUCUUUUUCAGCAUAUCUUCCUCAGUGAUGGUUUCCCCACAAAGUUUUAUCUGGGAGCCAAUUCUGAACAUCGCAGAAUUGUACUCAGCCAUUGACUUGAAAUUUUGGAUUCUUAGGUGAGUCCACUCAUAACGAACUCUUGGAAGAAUAAUUGUUUUCUGGUGAUUGUAUUUGUUUUUCAAUGCAUUCUAGAGAGCUGACGGAUCUUCAACUGUUAGUACUCGCUCUUUAGUCCUUCAUCAAGGUGGUGACGGAUAAAGAUCAUGUCAUUCGCCCGAUCUUGAGAAGAUGCAUUGUCUUUCUCCUUGAUUGUUUCUCCAAGAUUCUUGGCCUCCAAUUAGUUAUUGGCAUCCAUUACUCAGGUAAUGUAGUUUUUCCAGUAAUGUCCAGGAAAACAAAAUCAAGCUUUGCCGCCAAGUUCGCUAUUUUCUUUUCUGAAAGAAAACUGAGAUGUGUAAGAACUUGCAAUAAUAUGUAUUCUGGAGGUAUGUAAUGUUAGAACUUAUGGUUCUUACAAAUUUUUCAUUUUGAUCUUUAGGCCAAAAUGAUAAGCACUUGAAACUUCAGGCUCGAGAUUUUCAAGAUGAAUGAGGAGGACGAUUAUACAGCACCAUUCUCAUAACAUAGGAUGGGCGAUUAUUCCGCACUACUUAAGUAGCAAGAAAAUUUAAAUACGCAGAGCAAGGUGGGCGAUUAUACCGCACCACCUAAAAUUGCAAUAAAAUUAAACAUCAGACAAAUUUAAAUAUGUAGGGUAGGGUGGACGAUUAUACCGCUCCACCUAAAAUUUGCAAUAAAAUUAGAUCUACAAUCCAAAAUAGGCGAUGAUACCGCACCAUCUUGGAUUGUAAUAAGAUUAAAUUUGUAGUUCAAGAUGGGCGAUUGUACCGCACCAUCUUGGAUUGCAAUAAAAUUAACAUAAAUAAACACUGGGUUAGUAGUCAGGAGCUACACCAAACAAGAAAUAAAAAAUAUAAGUAACUGUUAGGUUGAGAACUAGAAGCAGACAUGGUGCAAACAGUUAUUUGCGAGGGUAUAUCCAGCAGUUGAGGCAGAUGAAGAAUAAGAACAGUAAAAUCCUUAAAGGAAACAUUUUUUUGUUCUUUCGGUGAAGAGAAAUAAGAGAACGAUUAGAAAGUCGUGCCGAUAACGUAUUAUAAAUAUGUAACAGUUAGAGAUAUAAUCUUUACUAGUAACAGUAGUGAAACAGAUGUUAAAUAUCAUAUUGUAACUAUACACAAGGGGAUGACAAAUAAAAGAUGGAUGGAUAGAUAAUGAUGUUAUUGAUCUUUCUGCAUAUCUUGAUAGUAGUGGGAGCGCUCUAUUUAUAGAGCAACUCCAAACAAACGUCUUAUUACAUUUUGAAAUUUACAGCACACCUUUUGAAAACACAGUCUCCUUCAUUUCCAAAGUCUAUAUUACUGUGUGGGUAUUGAAAAUCUCUGUGGACUUUGGAAAUGCAGGAUAUCGUAUUUUCAAAAGGUGUGUACUGUAAAUUUCAAAAUGUAAUAAUAUGUUUGUUUGGAGUUGCUAUAUAAAUAGAGCGCUUAGACUACUAUCAAGAUAUGCAGAAAGAACAAGAAAGAUCAAUAACAUCAUUAUCUAUCCCUCCCCUCUUUUAUUUGUCAUCCUCUUGUGUUAUAGUUACAGUGUGAUAUUUUACAUUUGCUUCGCUCUUAUCAUUAAUAAAGGUUAUCUCUCUAACUUUUACAUAUUUAUAACACGUUAUCAGCACGACUCUCUAAUCAUUCUCUUAUUUCUCUUCGCCGAAAGAAAAAAAAGAGUUUCCUCUAAGGAUUUUACUGUUCUUAUUCUUCCUCUGCUUCAACUGCUGGAUAUACCCUCGCGAAGAACUGUUUGCACCAUGCCUGCUUCUAGUUCUCAACAUAACAAUUACUUAUAUAUUUGAUUUCUUGUUUGGUGUAGCUCCUGACUACUAACCCAGUGUUUAUUUAUGUUAAUUUUACUGCAAUCCAAGAUGGUGCGGUAUAAUCGCUCAUCUUGAGCUACAAAUUUAAUCUUAUUGCAAUCCAAGAUGGUGCGGUAUCAUCGCCUAUCUUGGACUGCAUAUCUAAUUUUACUGCAAAUUUUAAGUGGAGCGGUAUAAUCACCUACCCUAUCCUGCAUAUUUAAAUUUGUCUGUUGUUUAAUUUUAUUGCAAUUUUACGUGGUGCGGUAUAAUCGCCCACCUUGCUCUGCGUAUUUAAAUUUUCAUGCUACUUGAGUGGUGCGGAAUAAUUGCCCAUCGUAUGUUAUGAGAAUGAUGCGGUAUACUCGCCCUCCUCAUUCAUCUUGAAAAUCUCGAGCUUGAAAUUUCGAGUGCUUAUCAUUUUGGCCUGAAGAUCAAAAUGAAAAAUUUGUAAGAACCAUAAGUUCUAACACUGCAUACCUCCAGAAUACAUAUUAUUGCAAGUUUUUACACAUUUCAGUUUUCUUUUAGAAAACAAAAUGACGAACUUGACAAACCUUGAUUUUGUUGUCCUGGACAUUACUGGGAAAAACUACCUUACCUGGGUAGUGGAUGUCAAUAUCUAUUUAGGGGCAGGGAAUCUUGGAGAAACAAUCAAGGAGGAGAACAUUGCAUCUUCUCAAGAUCAGGCGAAGGUCAUGAUCUUUAUCCGUUGUCACCUUGAUGAAGGACUAAAAAGUGAGUACCUAACGGUUGAAGAUCUGUUAGCUCUCUGGAAGACAUUGAGAAACAGAUACAAUCACCAGAAAACAAUGAUUCUUCCCAGAGCUCUUUAUGAGUGGAUUCACCUAAGGAUCCAGGAUUUCAAGUCAGUGGCUGAGUACAAUUCUGCGAUGUUCAAAAUUAGCUCCCAGAUGAAACUCUGUGGGGAGACCAUCACCGAGGAAGAUAUGCUAGAAAAGACUUUCACCACUUUUCAUGCCUCAAACUUGCCUUUGCAACAGUAGUAUAGAGAGCGAGGUUUCACUUAAUACAACUAGCUGAUAUCUGUGUUCCUAGUUGCUGAACAAAACAAUGAGCUCCUGCCGAAAAAUCAUCAGUCCCAACCUACUAGAUCUACACCAUUCCUAGAAGUGAAUGCUAUUUCUCUCGAAGAGAACGUCACAUUCUCUGGUGGCCAUAAUCAUAAAUAAGGACGUGGCCACAGACGAGGAUGGUGGAAUGGGAAAGACAAUAAUCAUGGUAUCUUGUUUCACAACUAGGUUCCAAGGCAUAAUUUAGGCCUGAGCUUCAAAAAUGUGAAUCGCCACAAAGGUAAAGCUUAUAUGAAUAAUGCUCCCAGAAACUCUGAAGGAGCCUACUAUAGAUGGGUGGCAAUGGUAAUUGGGCACGUACUUGUCGUACCCCAAAACAUCUGGUGGAUCUAUAUCAAGUCUCCAUCAAGGAGAAGGGUGACGAGAUCAAUUUUCUCGACCAAGUUAAACCAAUGGAUAUACCUGAUCCAGUGUGCGACUUAUCAGGGCAGUUGAACAUAACCUACCUAGAUGUCUUAAACUUCAUUGUGGAAAUGGGGAAUGAAGUAUACCAGUCCGACUGAAUCAUUUAUGUUUGAUGUACUGAACAUACAAUACUUCGAGAUCGAAAUUAUUUCUCAAGAUUGAUGCUUACAAAAGUAAGGGUAACAACAAUAUCAGGCCAAUCAGAUGUAAUUGAAGGCUCAAGGAAAGCCCAGAUUAUGUUACCAAAUAGAACAAUAUUGUCCAUACAUAAUGCGUUGUACGCUACUUGAUCUACUCGAAAUUUGUUGAGUUUUAAAGAUACGUUUAAAUGUAUACCACAUUGAAACAAAAAGUGCAGAAAAUGUGGAGUAUCUAUGCAUUACCUCCAAUGAUACCUUGAAGCGUAUCUUAGAGAAGUUGCAUGGUUUGACGAGUGGAUUGUAUUAUACAUACAUAAAGACAGUUUAAUCACAUACUGUCAUGAUUCAAAAGUUUACAUGCUUUGACAUGACCGUCUGAGUCACCUAGGAUCUAUCAUGAUGCGUAAAAUCAUUACCAAUUCUAAUGAACAUCCAUUAUUGAGCAAACACAUUGAUAUCUCAAUUAAUAACUCUUGCAAGGCUUGUUAUUAAGGGAAGUUGGUAAUUAGACAAUCACAACUAAAAGUUGAUGUUGAAUCCCUAGCAUUUCUGCAAAGAAUUUAAGGGGAUAUUUGUGGGCCUAUUCAACCAUCUUGUGGACCAUUCCAAUAUUUUAUGGUUUUGAUUGAUGCAUCUACCCGAUGGUCACAUGUUUGUCUCUUGUCUAAUAAGAAUGUAACUUUUGUGAGACUUCUUGCUCAGAUAAUUAAGUUGCAAGCAUAGUUCUCAGAUUACCCCAUUAAGUCAGUCCGACUUGAUAACGAUGGUGAAUUUACGUCUCAAACCUUUGAUGAUUACUGCAUGACAUUGGGCAUUGAUAUUGAACAUCAUGUUCCUCAUGUCCAUACUCAAAAUGGUUUAGUAGAAGCAUUGAUCAAGCGGCUUUAGUUAAUAGCUCGCAUUUUGCUCAUGAAAACAAAAUUGCCAGUUUAUGCAUGGGGACAUGCCAUGUUACAUGCUGCAUCAUUGUUUUGAUUGAGACCUAUAGCCAACCACCAAUACUCCUCAUCGCAACUCGUGUUUGAGCAUCAGCCAAACAUUUCACAUUUGCGAGUUUUUUGUUGUACUAUUUAUUUGCCUAUUGCACCACCACAACGCACUAAAAUGGGACCUCAGCGUAGACUCGAAAUUUAUGUGGAUUUUGUUUCACCAUCUAUAAUUAGCUAUUUGGAACCCUUGACAGAUGAUAUGUUUACAUCUCGUUUUGCUUAUUGUCACUUUGAUGAGAUAGUCUUCCCAUCGUUAGGGGGAGAAAAGACCGUUCCAGAAGAACGGCAAAAGCUGACAUAGGUUGUUCCCACCUUAUCUCAUUUUGAUCCUCAAAGCAUUUAAUGUGAAAAUGAAGUAAAAAUGAUCGUUCAUCUUCAAAGUAUUGCCAAUCAAAUGCUAGAUGCAUAUAAUGAUGACAUAAAAGUGACAAAAUCACAUAUACCAGCUGCAAAUGCACCUGCAAGAAUUGAUGUCCCUGUUAGACAAAAUAAAGUGACAGCGAAUGAUUCAUCUGGUGCACACCUGAAGCGUGGUAGACCCCCAGGUUCAAAAGAUUCAGCCCCUCGAAAGGAAAAGACGAGGGCACAACUGAAUCCAAAUGAAAUCAUUCAAGAAGAGAAAAUAAAUGACAAAUCCACAAUUCAUAAUUCUGUACUUUUAGAAAAAGAAAAUGUCCUUGAUGAGACAUGUACCUGAAGAAACAAAGGUAUAUGAAAGCAAAGAAAUCUCUAUAAAUUAUGCUUGUACUAAUGACUUGUGGGAUCAGAAUGAAAUAAUCAUCAACGACAUAUUCACAUUCGCAGUAGCCACUAUUAAGUGAUGAUCUUGAGGCCCGCUCUGUUGAUGAAUGCAAACAGAGACAAGAUUGGCCUAAGUGGAAAGAUGCAAUCCAGGCAGAAUUAAAUUCCUUAGAAAGGCGAAAUGUUUUCGGACCAGUAGUCUAAACCCCGCCUGGUGUAAACCCUGUGGAGUACAAAUGGGUAUUCACAAGGAAACGCAAUGAAAAAAAUGAGAUUGAAAAAUAUAAAGCACGACUUGUUGCACAAGGCUUUUUGCAAAGACCUGAAAUUGAUUAUGAUGAGACAUACUCUCCUAUAAUGGACGCAACUACGUUCCAUUACUUAAUAAGUUUAGUGGUUUCAGAAAAACUUGACAUCCGAGUUAUGGAUGUCAUCACCGCGUAUCUAUAUAGAGAAUUAGAUACUGAUAUAUAUAUAUAUAUAUAUAUAUAUAUAUAUAUAUAUAUAUAUAUAUAUAUCUAUAUAUAUGAAAGUCCUAGAAGAACUUAAGUUGCCUGAAACAACUAACAAACCACGAGGUAUACUCUUAAUCAAAUUAAGGCGAUCAUUGUAUGGGCUGAAACAAUCUGGACAAAUGUGGUUGUAGACAUCGAAAAUUCGGUGAAAUAAAUGUUGACCAAUAAUUACAAUUUUCGAACACGUGUCACAUAAAUUUUUCACGUAGCGUGUGACUAAAUGAAAAAUCAAAAUAAAUUGGAAAAGUAUCAAAUAAGGACACGUGUCAACACCUGGCAGAAAUGAUUUAUUUCAUCUGAAUAUUAUAUUCAAAAUUAGGCCUUGAAAAACUCUAUAAAUACAAGGUCAUUUCAUUCAUUUUAGGACACCAAUUCAUCACCAAUUCACAUCACACCAAAACCUUGAAGAUUUGAAACUCUAAAGCUCCCAAGCAAAUCCCAAAGGAUUAAGAAAGCUCCAUCCGUUCUUCGUCAAAUCCUCAUUCAAGAUCAAGCCCCAACGACCCUUGAAGAACGUCCACCAAUUCAAGAUCAAGCCGUGACGGCCCUUGAACAAAGUAUUCAUCGUUCAUCAUCUGUUCAUCCUAAGAUCAAGCCCCAACAACCCUUUGGAUAAACAACAUCAACAAAUCCACACAUCCGUUCUUCAAGAUCAAGCCCAAAAGCCCUUAAAGAUCCGUUCAUCCGUUCGUCAAGAUCAAACCUAACGGCCCUUGAAGAAACCAUCUGUACACCAAUAUUCAUCCUAAAGAUCAAGCCCCGACAGCCCUUUGGAUCAACAGCCUAUCCACAAAUCAACACUUUACGAAGAUCGAAUCAGAUGCUAAAUUUGUAGAAGAGAUUGUAACCACAAAAUCAUUAAUACAAAUAUUAUUUUGUACACGUGUUCUUAUCUUAUUCAUCACAGGAAUUUUCGUGUUUACAAAUUCGGCACGCCCGGUGGGACCAUCUCUAUCUCUCAUCUCUUUCUCCGUUCAAGGAAAUCAAAGCACACAUUUGAAAAUCAAAUGGCAUCAAGGAAGGUUCAAGUGGUUCCCGCAACCAACGCGAAAAACAAGAGCGUCAUCGCCGCAAGUGGUGUCACUUCGAGCAUCAUAACUCAAAGCAAGGCAAUAGUUUUUUCUGCCGCUUCUUCCACCUCUGCAUCAACUUUGCCAAAGGAGCAAGAACACCCGAGGCAUAAGCCUGUGAUCACCCUGGCCUCGCUAAGGGCACCAAAGGAGGAAAGCCCAAGGAAGUACUUUGGUUCCAUGUUUUCGAUGCCUACUUAAGCGGCAGUUCAGCAAUGCAAGUCAUGACCACCGAAGCGACUUUAAUCGAUGAGCAACUAGCUCAAAUGAAUGAAGCGAUCGCAAGGCUAACAUGGACUGUGGAAGAAAAAGUCUUGCAAAUCGCUGCACUCGUCAAUCGAUUGGAGGCACAUGAUGACGAGAAACCCAACCCAAAGGUCAAUCCCCUAAAGAGAGGAGCCGGUGAAGAAGAUGAGCCUCCAGUAGAGAAAGUCGAUAUGAAGAUGAAGCUAGACCAAGCAGCGGCACUCAUGGGAUUUUUCUAUCCAGCAGUUGUCGGAGAUGAUCGCCAGCACUAUCAAGGCGCAGUACGAAGGAAGCUCACAUGACUCUGUACUAUACUCAAAGCUUUACUCCAAGAAGAUUGAUGCUUUGAAGAUGUUAAGGGGUUAUCAGCCGCUAAAAUUCAUGCAAUUCGAUGGAAAAGGAAACCCAAAGCAACAUGUCACACAUUUCAUUGAAACCUACAACAAUGCUGGAACGGAUGGAGACUACUUCGUCAAGCAGUUCGUGCGCUCGCUGAAAGGUAACGCAUUUGACUGGUACACUGACCUCGAGCCCGAAUCUAUCAACAAUUAGGAUCAGCUAGAAAAUGAGUUCCUUAACCACUUCUACAGCAUUCGCCGCACCAUAAGCAUGCUAGAGUUGACUAGUACAAAACAGUGGAAGGAUGAACCUGUCGUCAACUACAUCAAUAGAUGGCGUUCGUUAAGUCUGGAUUACAAAGAUCUGCUUUCUAAAACCUCCGCCAUUGAGAUGUGCGUUCAAGGAAUGCAUUAGGGGUUACACUAUAUCCUCCAAGGCAUAAAACUGAGAAUAUUUAAAGAGCUGGCCACUCAUUCCCACGACAUGGAGUUGAGUAUCACCUACCAUGGAAAGAGAAAGCCGAUCACCGACUUCAAGAAGGAUAAGGCGUUCGCCCCAAAUGUAGACAAGACCGGGAAGAAGCCCGCCAAGAAAGCUUUUACCGUUAACACUACCCCCAUCAAGACCUCAUCUAUGCCCAUUAAGAUCUCAUCCAAGAACAAAGCAAAUGAGGUAAAGAGAGGCGAGCCUCCUCGCACCCAAGACAGGUAUAAAAACACCUUGAGGGAGCUGGAGCAAAAGAUGUACCCUUUUCCUGACUCAGAUAUGGCUGCAAUGUUAGACGACUUGUUGGAAAAAAAAAGUGAUCGAGCUACCCGAAUGCAAGCGUCCUGAAGAGAUGAAUCGCGUAAAUGAUCCUAAGUACUGCAAGUACCAUCGUAUCGUGAGCCAUCCUAUUGGAAAAUGCUUCAUCCUCAAAGAACUCAUCAUAAAGCUAGCACAACAAGGGAAAAUCAAGCUCGACCUUAAAGACACGGCCGUAACAUCUACUAUUACAAUUACGUUUGGAUCCUUAGAUCCCGUGCCUCUCCAAGUGAUACCCGACCAUUCCCGUCAAUGCUCAAACUGCAUGACACCUUCUGCACAACCAUCACUGGGGCAAACGACCAAGAUGCAGAUAUCGAUGAUGAAGAAGGAUGGACAUUGGUGAUCUACAAAAAGACAAGGAAAUAAAAACCACAAGCCACAAGGCCAAAGAUGGAAGAAGGGAGAAAGCACUGUCGCCGCAACAGUAAGAAGCCCAAAAGAAACGUAAAACCUGCUAAGCCAACGUACAUUGGGGAACCUGUGGAGCAAGAGCCACGCAUUCCUGUUUCCUUGCACGAGUACUUCCCGAAUGACUUCUUCCAACAGUGCACUAUCGCUGCAUGUCACAUGGUCGAAGUAGAAACGGAAGAACCUUCAAAAGGCAAAGUCAUCGCCAUCGAGGGAGAAAUUACCCUUACACCCAAAGAAGGCCUGCUAACACACUUUAGCAUCGAGGAAGCGCUACGAUUGCCAAAGGAGAUGCGAAGAGCACUAGCAGCGGUCUUGGCAAGUCCCAACGACCACGAAGUACAAGAAAGCAAGGAUGAAGGCUUGAAACUUCGACCACAUGAGUAUGCCACUUGUUGUGCUACCCAGGAUGCAAUCCACUUUACCGAUGAAGACUUGCUGCUAGGAUCCAAGCCUCACAAUCAUCCCCUCUUUGUCUCUGGGUACGUAAGGGAGCAUAAAGUUAACCGCAUGCUUGUGGAUGGUGGAUCGACCAUAAACAUUAUGUCGAAGUCAACAAUGACCACAAUCGGCAUCAAGGUGGAUGAACUAUCCCUAAGCCGUCUACUAAUCCAAAGUUUUAAUCAAGGAGGAUAAAGAGCGAUGUGCAUGAUCCAAGUAGAGAUGACCAUUGGUGAACUUUAAUCAAGCACGAUAUUCCAUGUGAUUGAUGCAAGAACUUCCUACAGCCUGCUCCUAUGAAGGCCUUGGAUCCACGGGAAUUGAGUAGUGCCAUCCACCCUCCACCAAUGCUUAAAAUUCUAUCGGGAAUGAGUAAAGGUGAUCCAAGGUGAUACCAAGCCAUUCACCGAAGUGGAAUCACACUUCGCAGACGCCAAGUUCUACAUGGACGAAGACAUAGUGCCUGACGCUCUUCUAGAAGAGCUCAAAUCCACGGGCAAAGCAGCAUCUAAAAAGCAGGAAUGGCAAGCCAUGCCCAAGAAUCAAGAAUGGCAAGCCGUGCCAUUUUUAGGCAAAAACGAUGACGAGCCUUUUAAACCUGCAACAACAAAAAGGACUAGGACGCCUUCAAAAGGACCAAACACACCGUAUUCUGAUGCAUCUCAUUUCAAGAAGAAAGAAUGGCCAAUUCCCGUUCAAAACUGGAGCAAGCAAAGCUGACAUACAGUGGCACAAGGAUAAUGUGAAGUUGCUCAAAACGAAUGCAGUUUUACCUCUGACACAGCUAGGCGACGCUAAGGUUGCAGGACUACCACAACGCUUCAUAAAAGCUCUGCCAAAGGGAGUGGAACCAAGCUUUCUUCCAACCAAGAGAACCGAAGAAGGUUUUGAUGCAAACACCUACAAGCUCAUGCGAAGGCUGGGUACGACUUCGCUUUUUCUUCGAAUCCUGGAAAGAAGGUUUCAAACACCGUUAACGACAAAGAAUGUGACCUCACUGAGACUCCAAAGAAGUUGAAGAAGCAUGGUUACGAAAUCGACAACAACAAAGCUGGACUUGGCUUCACACCAAAUGCAUCCGUGAAGAUUUCAAGCAAAGCGAAAAAUGCUAGCACUCAACACAUCAGCGUGAGCAUUGAACAAGAUCAAGAGGAACCUAAAUCCGCCCCUCGGACGUCAUUCUUUGAUAUGAUGAAUCGUUCAAGGCCCAGAAUUUUGGCAUUUAAUCGCAUUGGUGGUCAGGACCAAACCUCUGUGUUCAAGAAGCUUAACCAACCAACAUCCCAAAACUCUGUUUUCGAAAGAUUGUCAAAACCUAAUAAACAAAGCAACAUGGCUAGCUAUCUUCUGCGACGGUCAGCUUUGGAGAGGCUUGAAGACAAUAAGAAGCCUUUGAAAAAAAAUGAAGACAACGCCAAAGGAAGAAAAGCUAGACGAGCUAGCAGAAAAAGGCGACAUUCGAAGCUCUAUUCCUUCAAGGAUGAAGCGCCAAGCAAUCUUAGAGGUUGACACAAUUGGAUCACUGAAAGUGAGAAGACGCAUCAUCAUCCACACUGGCCAAUCUUCACGCCAACAAGCCCGAAAGGAUGGCUCUGAGGAAGAGGUCUAAGACGUCUUCUACAUCACAAUCCAAGAAGGCAAAAAAGACGAAAUCCCCGAGGAAGACGUCACUGCCGUACCACCACAACUUGAGGAUGGGUGGCAAGCCACGGUUGAUGAUCUCAAGGAGCUCAGCUUAGGCACAAAAGAGAAGCCGAAGCCUAUCUUCGUAAGUGCGCUGCUAAGUAUGAAUGAGACAGAAGAGUAUUACCAACUGCUGCUAAAGUACAAAGACGUCUUUGCUUGGACCUACAAGGAAAUGCCUGGCCUUGACCUUGUCAUUGUUGUGCAUCAUCUUGCAGUCAAGCCCGAAAUACGACCGAUAAAGCAGACUCAAAGGCUCUAUUGAUCGCAACUUAUCCCACAAAUUGAGGCUGAGAUUGACAAGCUAAUCGAAUCAACCUUUAUUCGAGAAGUGCAAUACCCUAGGUGGAUCUCCAACAUCGUCACUGUCUUUAAGAAAUCUGGACAAAUACGUGUUUGCGUAGACUUCCAGGACCUCAACGAUGCUUGCUCGAAGGACGACUUCCCCUUGCAUCAGGUGUUUCAUCUCCAACCUUACAGGGUGUUGUCAACCGUUCAGUCGACUCAUGAAGAAUGAUGUUCUGUUCAUAUGGGACGAAGCAUGCCACAAUGCUUUUGAAAGCAUAAAAAAAUAUUUAUCAAGUCCACCUGUCCUGGGGGCGCCUGUGCCCGGAAAACAGCUCAUAUUGUACAUCGAUGCUCAGGAAAGUUCAAUUGGAGCACUCUUCGCACAAGAGAAUGAAUCCCAAAAAGAAAGAGCGCUCUACUACCUCAGCCGAACUCUCACCAGCGCCGAGUUGAACUACUCCCUAAUAAAAAAGAUGCGUCUCGCCUUGGUGUUCGCUAUACAAAAGCUCAGGCAUUACAUGCAUGCUUACACCAUCCACCUGGUUGCUAAAGCUGACCCAAUCAAAUACGUCAUGUCUAAACCAGUGUUGACAGGGCGACUAGCUAAAUGGGCGUUGCUUCUCAAUCAAUACGAGAUCAUAUACGUCCCAGCUAAAGCGGUCAAGGGAUAAGGGCUAGCAGAUUUCCUUACCAAUUAUCCAAUCCCAGCCGAUUGGAAAAUCUCAGACGACUUGCUUGACGAGAAGGUGUUUAUAUCGACAUCUUUCCGACAUGGACGAUGUUCUUUAACGGAUCUGCACGAGCAGACGGAGCAGGGGCAGAAGUAGUAUUCAUGUUGCCAUAUAGGCAAAUAUUACCUUAUUCCUUCCAACUAAGCGAACUAUGCUCCAACAACGUCGUUGAGUACCAAGCACUGAUCAUCGGGCUCCAAAUGGUGAUCAACAUGGGAAUCACAACCCUUGAGGUAUUUAGCGACUCCAAGCUCAUAAUCAAUUGACUCUUAACUGAAUAUGAGGUGAGGAAAAAUGAUCUCGUCCCAUACUUCUGACUGGCAACCCAACUGCUACAAAAGUUCAAGACUGUGACCCUAGAACAUGUGCCAAGAAAAGAAAAUCAAAUGGCAGACGCUCUCGCCAACCUAGCCUCGAGUAUGGCACUAAGAGAAGACGAAGCUGCAGACGUGCCAGUUUGCCAAAAAUGGGUGAUCCCGCUCGUCACUGAAAUGCUACUGGAUGAUACAAAUGUCAUCUCAGUACUUCCAGUCGAUGCUGAAGAGUGGAGACAGCCGCUGAUCGACUACUUGGAGCAUGGAAAGCUUCUAGAUGAUCCUAAACACUGCUCUGAAAUACGUCGAUGAGCACCUCGUUUCCUCUACUACAAAGGAACACUCUAUUGACACUCUUUUGAAUGAGUACUUCUGAGAUGCUUCGGUGAGGAAGAAGCCAAUCAAGCUAUGGAAAAAGCACACUCAGGUGUAUGUGGGGCGCAUCAGUUUGGACCGAAGCUACAUUUCCAGCUCAAAAGGAUGAGUUACUACUGACCAAGCAUGGUGAAAGAUUACCUAAAACAUGCCAAAAGGUGCCAAGCCUGCCAAUUCCACGCCAACUUCAUACAUCAACCGCCUGAACCAUUACACCCUACAGCUGCCUCAUGGCCAUUCGAUGCAUGGGGAUUGGAUGUCAUAAGACCAAUUAUGCCAAAGUCAUUUGCAGGAGAAACUUACAUCCUAGCUACAACAGAUUACUUCUCCAAGUGGGCUGAAGCCAUACCUCUAAGGGAAGUAAAAAAGGAAACUGUCGUCAGUUUCAUCAAGGAACAUAUCAUCCACCAAUAUGGUAUGCCUCACUACAUUAUCACUGACAACGAAAAACAGUUCUCCAACCGACUCAUGGACGAGUUUUGCAAGAAAAACAAGUUCAAGCAGCAUAAGUCUUCCAUGUAUCAUGCUCCGGCCAACGGUCUUGCGGAAACAUUCAACAAAACAUUGUGCAAGCUCCUAAAGAAGGUGAUCGGCCGAACAAAGAUAGACUGGCAUGAAAGAAUAAGCGAAGCACUUUGGGCAUAUAGGACGACAUAUAGGACUCCUACCCAAGCUACACCUUAUUCUCUCGAAUAAGGCAUGGAAGCUGUUCUACUGCUUGAGAGUCAAAUUCCCUCACUAAGGAUGACUAUUCAAGAAAGCUUGACUGACGAAGAGAAUGCAAAGUUACGCUUUCAAGAGCUUGAAGCGUUGGAUGAGAUAAGGCUUGAAGCUCAGCAACACUUGGAAUGUUAUCAAGCACGACUCUCCAAGGCCUUCAACAAGAAAGUUCACCCUCGUUCUUUUCAAAUAGGAGAUCUCGUCCUUGCAUUGCGUAGGCCUAUCAUCACAACUCACAAAACAAAAAGCAAGUUCACAUCAAAGUGGGAUUGACCUUAUGUAAUACAAGAAGUCUACACCAAUGGCGCAUACUUAAUCAUGGCAAUAGACGGCUUGAAGAUCGGCCAUAUCAAUGAUAGAUUCUUCAAGCGCUACUACCCCUAAAACAAACGGACCAUGCUCCUGGCCCGCAAGAGCAUAAAUUGCGUAUGACACAAAAAAAAAUCCAAAAGAAAAUGUAUUUGAACUACGUCAUGACUUGAUCCCUCUUUAACUGAGGGUACAUAGGCAACUUGAAACUUCAAAACUUCAAGUACAGUCACAUCAUCAACAAAAACACAAACACUUUGAGGAAUAAAGAGCAAAUUCAAUAUGUGAAUAAUUUAUUUCUUUAAAGGAAGGAUUUGGCAACAAAGCUUUAUUUACAAAAAAAAAAUGAUCAGAAGGAAAGAAGGCUUAAGGAAGACAUUACUUAAGAACUAUAUCCAUAAAACUACGACAACGAUCCUCAAGCAGGCCUUCCAAAGUCUUCAAAGUCUCCACAUCGGUAGGAGACAAGGUGGGCGACUCCAUUACCAUACAUUUCUCUUGCUUUAGGUGUGACAUCUCCUUUUGGUAUUGAGAAAUUGUAGCUUCCUGCUCCGAAAGAACACAUUCAAGCCGUGAUGCUUCAAUUCCCAACUACUCUCUCUCCCGCACUAAUGCUUCCAGACGCACUUGGACGGAAGCUAAGGAGGUUCCUGUGAAUUGAUAAUCUUCUGAAGCAGCUUGCUGAGAAGACCAAACUUGGGCAAUUAAUAAGUCUAUUCCAGCAAGUUAUUGAGCUUUAACAUCUGGACUCAACUUUUUCGAGGAAAUAGCACGCAAGGAAGAAUACUCAGUCGAGGCAGCCAUAAGUUUGGCAAUCUGAACUCUCAAGGGCGAGGAAUCAACUUUAAGGUCAUUAAUUGUACAAACAAACUUCGAUAAAUCCUUCUUAAGCAACGCAAGGUCUUCUAAUGGGUACUUUGAAAUCCUCUCCUCAAUAUGGCUUUUGACAUCCAUAGCCAUAUGAAGUCUGAUGCGACAGAUAAGCUGCUCAGUUCCAUGAAUGUUUGGCCCUCUUAAAGAGAUUUCAGAGCUAGCUGGCAAAGGUAUUGGAUGCAUGACGGGCCCUUGCAUAUCUUCACCUACACACGGCAAACCAGGCCAACUUGGCUGAUUCGGAAUAGGCUCUGCACCAGGCGGAUCCCCAAUCUCUCUAUCUGUAGGUAAAUUACCUUCAGAUAUCAUAUCCAUAUAAGAAUGAACGCUUGCGUUCGCUAGAUCAAAAGAAUAAGAUGGCUCAGCCUAAACAAGACAAAGAAAGAUGUUAGAAAUCAAAGCUAAAAUAAUGAAAGCAAAGUAAGUCACAAGAAAGAAAUGAAUAUGUACAUCUUUAUCAAGUGACACACGACCACCAAAUUAAGAAGGCCUAAACGCUUCUUUCUUCUUAUGACAAAAAUUGACGUCGCUAUCAACCUGAGCACCUUCAAAUGGUCGUUUGUUUAUAAUUUGUUGACGCUGCUGCAAAACAAGUCCAUCUUUGCACGAAUCAACUUCAUCACCCGCCUCUUCAUAAGUAUCCGGAUGUUGAGGAGACAAGCACGGGUGCUGAGGAACUAAAACCACAGGUUCAUCUUGCAAAUGAGUUGCACUCGCACAAUCAAGCGGUCAGCUGCGUAAGAAUCACAGAACACCCCUCUCUCGGUGCAUCAUUACGUAAGCAAGAAGAAUUGGUACCACUUGUCGUCCCCAAGUUUUCAUAAUGUACCUUUGACCACCAAUUUACGUAAGCACGGGUCACCAGAUUGUUCUUGAACUCAUCUUUGGUUGGCAGAGUGAUAGAAGCAUUUGUACAUGCAUGGGUACAAGACUCCCAAUGCAUAUACACGACUUGCAAGGAUUCCAAUCGGGCUUUUUCCUUCAGCUUGCCAGGCACAUUUUGGACAAAACCAAAUUGUCUGUUGUGAGGACUAUACGGCUAAACGAUGCAUCGGUCUUCUUGUCGCAGAGAAACAUACCCCGAGCGAAGAUUUAUAAGAUAAAACAAGUUUGAGAAGCGAAGAUGCGAAUCAUCCAUGAUGCCUCGUCACAGCGAACCCACUCUCACCAGGUGAUCAAUCCUCAAGCAUUCAUAACUUCUAAACAGCGCUUGCGCCUGCAAAUCAUCAAAGCCCUUCGCAGAAAACAUGCCAAAAUACUUCGUCAUCAAAGGCCCUAACUUAAUUGAAGUUGGUGAAGAAGGCCCUGACUUGUCUAAAGUUGACGAAGAAAAAUGAGUGCCAAGUACACACCCAACCAACCAUACACGUAAUGGUAGGGAAAUACCGCAUCACGAUCUUCAGUGCUAACCGAGUUUGAAACAACACCCAAGCCAUUGUAAAUGUUGGCUAAGACCGAAAUAGCAAGGCUAAAAAAUUCGCCAACGACCAUCUUGUUAGCAACUUUGAAGACUCCGGGACGGAUGAAAUUGACGUCGUCUUUGAGGAAAACAAACUUACAAAACCAACAAGCUAAGAAAGUGGCUAGGUAAGAUUUUUCUAAGUGCUCUGACGCCACGCCAAGAUCCUCAAAUGCCUUCAACUCGGUAAGGUUACGGCUCCCAGCUUGACCAAUGACACCUGACGGAUCCAAGUUUCCCUUAAGCCUGGUUGCCUUGUUACGACCACUUUUCUUCGAACGUCUUUGGUACUUCAUGGCAUCCCAAUACCAAAACCGGAUCCAUGCUGACUUACCCGAGGCCUCUUAGGAAAGCUUAUGGUAUGCCCAAAACAAAUAGCGGCAACUCGCAUGCAAUCCUUGAUUGUUGCAAUAAGAAAAAUCCUCCACACUAGGAACAACCUCGUCAUCAAAUUUUCCUUGGAUCACCAAGCAUCCUAUCUUGUGAAGAUCCCUAAGUGAAAUCGACAUCUCCCCUUGAGCCGUGUGAAGUGUGUUGGUUGUUGAACACCAAUGCUAAAAAAAUGCACGAAUGACAGAAUGAUGGCAAUCAUAACUGAACAAAGAUGCAUAUACAACAUGAUAAAGGCCCAUGUUGGUAAGCACAUCUUUGGAGCGGCUCAAGACAUCUUCAAGCCAUUCCCAGUAAAAUUCAACGAAGGUGGCUCCUCCAGUAGUCGAUAGGGUGCUACUCCAAGCCAUAGCUCCAUUAUGGAUACGAUCAUGAAGAAGCUCAGACGAGGCCAGAUGAUUGUCACGAACAUGGUGCGAAGAGUCCAAGAUAAGAAUCCUCGAGGUGCACGCCUUCUUCUUCGUAUCUAGUUGAACAUAAUCUACCACCUCCCAAGAUACUUCAGAAGAGCACGACUUAAUAUGCAUAGAGUUGUCUUUUGCAGGAAGAGCAAGCGCCUUAGGAUCAGUUAGUGGCGCGUAAAGCUUCAAUGUCGUUCCCCUGUCUUGCGAAUCCUCUUCAUUCGCAAGAAUGGUGAUGGUGUUGCUCUUAAAGCACUUGAAAAAUACCAUGACCUUAACGAAAAAAAAAAAUCAGCCACAAAACUUGAGUAGCACGGCAAAGAGAAUAGCAACAAAACAGUCAUUCCGAGCGACAGCAAGAGACACGAUGAUGUCACCACCAAGGAAAGUCGUGACCAAAAGGUACUACACAACAUAAACUCGCUGCAGUCUUUUGCACAACCCCACACGGUAAAAGUGACGCACUGCAACAAGCUCCAAGUAGCAGCAAAAGGCACAACAAAGUCAUGACCGAGGAAAGUCGUGACCAAAAGAUACUACACAACAUAAACUCACUGCAGUCUUUUGCACAACCCCACACGGUAAAAGUGACGCACUGCAACAAGCUCCAAGCACGGGCAAAAGAACCUCCAUCGAAACAAGCAAGGAAAUUCACCAAUAUACACUAUGUACCUAAAAUAAAUAAAUAAAUAAAAAAAGUCACGUGAAAGUCAAAACCCACCAGCUGUGUGUGUGCAUAUGUGUGUGUGUGUAUGUGUGUGUGUGUGUGUGUAUACAUACAUGCUAGUCAAAAUCAAAAGCACAAUGAAUCAUGUGUGUGUAUUUAUAUAUAUAUAUAUAUAUGUAUGUAUGUAUAUAUAUGACAUCCUUUCGGUGCCCAGCAAGAACCAAAAAAAAAAAAAAAAAUUCACAACAAGAUCUGAACCUAUGGCAACAAGCGUAAUAAAUAAAGCACAGCGAGAGGUGAUCAGUAGUGGUCGUAGUACAGUCCAAGCACUCUGCAACUUGAAGGAAAUGGAAUGGGGAUCAGAUAUUUGUCUAAAGCCUUAUAGGAGAACCUAUUCAUACACAAAUGGAAUUGAGGAACUUGAUAUCUGGCACGGCAACAGGCAUAUGUUUUUCCCCAAUGCUAAGGCAUCUGCUUUGCUCCAAUGCUAAAGCAACUGCUUUGCUCCCCAAAACAAGGAACAUGGUCCCUUUAUUUUUGUCUUAUUUAUCAAUCAAAUGGAGUGGGAAGCCGAAAGUGGAUUUGGAAAUGUCAAUUAAAAAAUUGACAUCCUAAAAUGAGCAAACAAGACGGGGCCUUACAUCCAUAUGUUGGAAAUGUGCCCUAAAACCAAUCAUAUGAUGAUACUUUACGGACAUUUCACAUGUUAAACUAAUAUAGUUUAAUAUAAAAGGCAAAGAUUAUUGUUUGAAGCCGUCUCAUAUAAAUGUUAUAUGCUUAAACGAUAAGUCUAAGGAAUAUGUAAUUGGGAGAAUGCGAUCUAAAGAAGUUAGAUUCAUCAGACCAUUCUGUUUCGUAUACAUAUCCUAAACGUUCCUGAUCAUAGGAUUGCCAAUUGGGCAUUGACAGUCCGUUAAGAUCAGUACGUCCUAUGUCUUCUCUUAGGGAGAGUGACUGGUCUCAAGUCAUUGGUGUGACUGACACCAAGACAAGUACGUAGGUGCUCAAUAGAGAAUGAGUUCACUGAACGCGAUCAACAAGAAGUUCUCAUACCCAUGUCACAUGAGAACUCAUGGUUGGGAUAAUGCAAAGUAGUCCUUUGACCUGAGGCAUCAUAGUUGUCUUGUGGUUAGGUCCUUUAUCUUUGACUAUGUCAAAGUCACUCCGAGGGUGUCCACGACAUAGUUGGGGUUAAGCCACUUAGCCAUGGAUGCAAGUGAAUGCACAACAAGGGAUCUCUAACCUUCAAACCGUUUGAGGGAAAAUACUCUAUGAUAUGAUUAAGAAUCUCUGACCAGAGUAUGAAUGAGAUUUAAGAAGUCGUUUCAAAUCACAUUCAAGGUAAUCAUAUAAGUAAGAGAUCACAUUGGAUAGAAGACAUGAAUAAACUAUCAAACCAAACAAUGUGGUCAAGAGUAUUGUAUUAGAGAAAGACCGUAUUGUAUUGUAAUCCUAAACUGAAUAGGUUCUCCACCUCUUCUGAUUAGCUUGGGUAACCAUGACAUACUGCUAGGUGUCACUCAUGGUUUGUGGAAGCCCUAAAUGUGUAUAAUCACUAAAGGGAGAAUUGAAAGUAAGUUUCAAUUCACAAUCGAUCGUUAAGAGUAACAAUCGCCCACUGCCUCGCUAAAAGGAACAUAAUGGAUCGUACAUCGUGUAAGGUAGAGAUUGAAGAAACAACGGAGAUGAGUAAGGAUAAUUAAAUGGUUUAAUUAUUUAUGGCUAGGAUUAAUUAAUAUGUUAAUUAAUCAAACGAAUACGUUCGUUAUAAACCUAGGGUUAGUUUUGGGCCGCAAGGCCCAAUGGGAUUUGAAAGUCAAGCCCAUUAACUCAAGUUGUAUGCCAACUUGAAUAAAUAAAGGGCUUGAAAGCCCAAUAAACCCUUAAGGCUGGCCAAAUAGAGGAGGGUAGUGAACUUGCUUUAAUUGCAAGUUUGCCACUUCAUUGUGAGGUGGUAUAAAGGCAACUUUAUAGCCAUUUCAUCCUUAGUGUUUUCUUUUGGGGAAAGGAUGAGAACACAAUGCUCUCCUUUUCUCUCUAAGAGGCCGGCCCCCUUGGAGGAGAUUAGCUAGCAAUCUCUCAUCCUCCAAGGUCACUCAUCUUUUCUUCAAGUCCCUCCUUGGUGUGGAAAAAUUAGAGGUUCUCAAUUUUGGGAACUUGGAGAAUCCUUUCUACCAUCCUCCUCCCAGAAAUCGAUGGAACUAAGAAGUAAGGAAUGAAGGCCCUCUCCUUGGGUGAUUAUCCUUUGCUUAUGCAAAGAGGAAUCAACAAAGGUAUGAAAUAUCUCAACUCACUGUGUUCUUGAGUUGAGUCUUGGUUCACCUUUCUACUAGGCUUUGAAUUUCAUGGGUAAUGUUUUGUUUUGAGUGCAUACUAGCAUGAUUCCGCCUUUAAUUGUUAAUUGCAUGCCAUAGAUGUUGCUCAAAUGAACAUGUUUUUCACAAAAUUUCCUUCACCAUACACUUGGUAUAUGUGAUGAUGGCAUGUGGAAAGCAACUGACAAAAAAAGAAAAAAAAAGAAAAAAAAGUACCAUUUGGGGGAAAUAAAGCUCAUUUAUUGAUUUCUCUACAAAAUUUAAAUAAACGUACAUUUUACAUGACUAAAAAAAAUAUAAUAAUAAUAAUAAUAAUAAUAAUAAUAAAGGGGGCAAGAAACAGGAGGGAGCCUUCACAAAGGUUGAUCAGGUGGCGCCUCAGUACUCGGUAGAGCUCCAGAAGAGGGAGGCACUAGAGGAUGAUUAUUUGGAGCCUCAACAGUUGGUAGAGCUCCGGAAGACGAAGGCAAUAGGUGCCUUUGGAGUAAAGCCACAAACAUUUGAUGGUCAUUCUGAAUCCGACCUUCGGAUUCCUGCAGCUGGUCGAGCUUUUUUUUCAUGCUCGUUAAGUAACUAGCAUGUGAAACUCUCUGUUUUCAUGCUUAAGCCCUCUAAUCUCUUGCUUAAGGCUCGCCACCUUAGCCAUCAAGGAUUCGACCUAGCGAGUACGAGCAAGAAGGCAUUGGCCCAUAUUCGAUACAGAGCCCGCACAUUGAACACUAAAAGCCAGAGAGUCCUGAACAACCAGCUUAUUAGACCGCUUGGAAAGGAUCAUGUUGUCCUUGGGAGUGAGAAUAUUUUUAGCUACCACCGUAGCGAUUAUGUCAUUCUUCAUCAUAGAGUCCCUAACUGUAAGAGGACCGGUGGGGGAUAAGAAGGAUGAGUGCCAUAUGUUGUCUGGAGAAGAUAUAUCAUCAUUUUCCCCAACAUUUAAAUCAAGACGAUGAUUAGAUGGACAAGCCAUUUGCAAAAAUGAUGAAAGAAGAAGAAGUCGUGUAAAUCGAAUUCUUAGAAAUACAAAAGGAGGGAAAUUCCUAACAGGUAGCAACUCUUUAAGUGUGUUUUUGAACACGAUUAAUGCCUUUAUAAAAAGAAGAGGCAACAGGGUCGUUCAAAAACCAAGGAGACACCUCUCCCCGAAUUUCAAAAACUGGGCCGUUUGUUCAAAAAUUGAAGAGGCAACAAGGCCACCAGGGAUAGGUGCCUCUUUGGUUUUUGAACGGCCAUGUUGCCUCUUCGAUUUCUGAACAGGCCAUGUUGCCUCUUCUUUUUAUAGAGGCAUUAAUCGUGUUCAAAAACACACUUAGAGAGUUGCAACCUAUUAGGAAUUUCUCUCCUUUUGUAUUUCUAAGAAUUCGAUUUACACGACUUUUUCUUCUUUCAUCAUUUUUGCAAAUGGCUUGCCCAUCUGAUCGUCGUCUUGAUUUGAAUGUUGGGGAAGAUGCCGAUAUAUCUUCUCCAUACAACAUAUGGCACACAUCCUUCUUAUCCUCUACCGGUCCUCUUACAGUCGGGGACUCUGUGAUGAAAAAUGACAUAACCGCUACGGUGGUAGCUAAAAAUCUUCUCACUCCCAAGGACAACAUGAUAUUUUCCAAGCGGUCUAAUAAGCUGGCUGUUCAGGACUCUCUGGCUUUCAGUGUUCAGUGUGUGGGCUCUGUAUCGAAUAUGGGCCAACGCCUUCUUGCUCGUACUCGCCAGGUCAAAUCCUUGAUGGCUGAGAUGGCAAGCCUUAAGCAAGAGAUUAGAGGGCUUAAGCAUGAAAACAGAAAGUUGCACAUGCUCGCAAAUAGUUACUCAACGAGCAUGAAAAGAAAGCUCGACCAGCUGCAGGAAUCCGAAGAUCGGAUUCAGAGUGACAAUCGGAUAUUUGUGGCUUUACUCCAAAGGCACUUAUUGCCUUCGUCCUCCGGAGCUCUACCAACUGUUGAGGCUCCAAAUAAUCAUCAUCUGGUGCCUCCCUCUUCUGGAGCUCUAUCGAGUACUGAGGCGCCACCUGAUCAACCUUUGUGAAGGCUCCCUCCUAUUUCUUGCCCCUUUAUUAUUAUUAUUAUUAUUAUUAUUAUUAUUAUUAUUAUUAUUAUUAUUAUUAUUAUUAUUAUUAUUAUUAUAAUAUUUUUUCUUUUUACUCAUGUAAAAUGUAAGUUUAUGUAAAUUUUGUACAUAAAUCAAUAAAUGAGCUUUAUUUCCCCCAAAUGGCACUUCCUUAAGGAAGUAAGGCCUAGUCUUGUUUGUUCAUUUUAGUAUGUCAAUUUUUUAAUUGACAUUUCCAAAUCCACUUUCGGCUUCCCACUCCAUUUGGUUGAUAAACAAGACAAAAAUAAAGGGACCAUGUUCCUUGUUUUGGGGAGCAAAGCAAAUGCUUUAGCAUUGGAGCAAAGCAGAUGCCUUAGCAUUAGGGAAAAGCAGAUGCAUGUUGCCGUGCCAGAUAUCAAGUUCCUCAAUUCCAGUUGUGUAUAAAUAGGUUCUCAUGUAAAGCUUUAGACAGAUAUCUGAUCCCCAUUCCAUUUCCUUCAAUUUGCAGAGUGCUUGGACUGUACUACGACCACCACUGAUCACCUUUCGCUGUACUUUAUUUAUUACGCUUGUUGCCACAAGUUCAGGUUUUGCUGUGAUUUUUUUUUUUGGUUCCUGCUGGGCACCGAAAGGAUGUCAUGUAUAUAUAAACACACACACAUUAUUCAUUGUGCUUUUGAUUUUGACUAGCAUAUAUGUAUAUAUAUACACACACACAUAUGCACAUACACGGCUGAUGGGUUUUGACUUUCACGUGACUUUUUUUUUUUUGUUAAGGUACACAGUGUAUAUUAGUGAAUUUCCUUGCUUGUUUCGAUAGAGGUUCUUUUGCCCGCACUUGGAGUUUGUUGUAGUGCGUCACUUUUACCGUGUGGGGUUGUGCAAAUGACUGCAGCGAGUUUAUGCUGUGUUGUGCCUUUUGGUCACGACUUUCCGCAGUGGUGACUUCGUUGUGUCUCUUACUGCCGCUCGGAAUGACCAUCUUGUAGCUACCCUCUUUGCCGUGCUGCUUAAGUUUUGUGGCUGAUUUUUUUUUUUUUUUUUUGUUAAGGUCAUGGUAUUUUUCAAGUGCUUUAAGAGCAACACUAUCACCAUUCUUGCAAAGGAAGGGGAUUCGCAAGACAGGGGAAAAACGUUGAACCUUUACGCGCCACUGACUGGUUCUAAGGCACUUGCUCUUCCCGCAAAAGACAACUCCAUGCAUAUUAAGUCAUGCUCUUCUGAAGUAUCUUGGGAGGUGGUAGAUUAUGUUCAACCAGAUACGAAGAAGAAGGCGUGCACCUCGAGGAUUCUUAUCUUGGACUCUUCGCACCAUGUUCGUGACAAUCAUCUGAGCUUCUUGGUGAUUGUAUCCGUAGCGGAGCUGUGGCUUGGAGUAGCACCCUGGCGACUACUGGAGGAGCCUCUUUCGUUGAGUUUUACUAGGAAUGGCUUAAAGAUGUCUUGAGUCGCUCCAAAGAUGUGCUUACCAACAUGGGCCUUUAUCAUAUUGUAUAUGCAUCUUUGUUCAGUUAUGAUUGCCAACCUUCCGUCCUUCGUACAUUCUUUGAGCAUUGAUGUUCAACAACUAACACACUUCACAUUGCUCAAAGGGAGAUGUCGAUUUCACUUAAGGAUCUUCACAAGAUAGGAGGCUUGCCGAUCCAAGGAAAAUUUUAUGACGAGGUUGUUCCUAGUGUUGAUGAGUUUUCUUAUUGCAACAAUCGAGGAUUGCCUGCGAGUUUCCGUUAUUUGUUUUGGGCGUACCAUAAGCUUUCCUAAGAGGCCCCAGGUAAGUCAGGCAUGAAUAUUUAUUCAUGGAUCCUAUUUUGGUAUUGGGAUGCCAUGAAGUACCAAAGGCGUUUGAAGAAAAGUGGUCGUAACAAGACAACCAGACCUAAGGGAGACUUGGAUCCAUCAGGUGUCAUUGGUCAAGCUGGGUGCCGUACCCCUACUGAGUUGAAGGCAUUUGAGGAUCUUGGCUUGGCGUCAGAGCACUUGGACGAAUCUUACCUAGUCGCUUUCUUAGCUUGUUGGCUUUGUAAGCUUGUUUUCCCCAAAGACGAAGUCAAUUUCGUCCGUCCCGGAGUCUUCAAAGUUGCUAGCAAGAUGGCUGUAGGUGAAUCUUUUAGCCUUGCUAUUUCAAUCUUAGCCAACAUUUACAAUGGCUUGGGCGUUGUUUCGAACUCGGCCAGCACUGAAGAUCGUGCUGCGGUACUUCCCUACCACUACGUGUAUGGUUGGUUAGGUGAGUACUUUGGCACUCAUUUUUCUUCGUCAACUUUAGACAAGUCAGGGCCUUCUUCACUGACUUCAGUUAAGUUGAGGCCGUUGAUGACGAAGUAUUCUGGCUUGUUUUCUGCGAAGGGCCUUGAUGAUUUGCAGGCACAACCGCUGUUUAGAAAUUAUGAAGGUUUGAGGAUGGAUCACCUGGCGAGAGUGGGCUCGGUGCGGUUAGGCAUCAUGGAUGAUUCGCAUCUUCGCUUCUCAGACUUGUCUUAUCUUAUAAGUCUUCGCUCGGGGUAUGUUUCUUUGCGGCAAGAAGAUUGAUGCAUCGUUUAGCCGUAUAGUCCCCACCGUUUUAGUAGGCAAUUUGGUUUUGUCCAAAAUGUGCCUGGCAAGCUGAAGGAAAAAGCCCGAUUGGAAUCCUUGCAAGCCGUGUAUAUGCAUUGGGAGUCUUGUACCCGUGCAUGUACAAAUGCUUCUAUCACCCUGCCGGCCAAAGAUAAGUUCAAGAACAAUCUGGUGACCCAUGCUUACGUAAAUUGGUGGUCAAAUGUACAUUAUGAAAACUUGGGGACGGCAAGUGGUACCAAUUCUUCUUGCUUACGUAAUGAUGCGCCGAGAGAGGGUUGUUCUGUGAUUCCUACGCAGCUGGUACCGCUUGAUUAUGUGAGUACAACUCCUUUGUAAGAUGGACCUGUGGUUAGUUCCUUAGCGCCCGUGCUUGUCUCCUCAACAUCCGGAUGCUUAUGAAGAGGCAGGUGAUGAAGUUGAUUCGUGCAAAGAUGGACUUGUGUUGCAGCAGCGUCAACAAAUUAUAAACAAACGACCACUUGAAGAUGCUCAAGCUAAUAGCGACGUCAAUUUUUGUCAUAAGAAGAAAGAAGCGUUUAGGCCUUCUCAAUUUGGUGGUCGUGUGUCACUUGAUAAAGAUGUACAUAUUCAUUUCUUUCUUGUGACUUACUUUGCUUUCAUUGUUUUAGCUUUGAUUUCUAACAUCUUUCUUUGUCUUGUUUAGGCUGAGCCUUCUUAUUCUUUUGAUCUGGCGAACGCAGGCGUUCAUUCUUGUAUGGAUAUGAUAUUUGAAGGUAAUUUACCUACAGACAUAGAGAUUGGGGAUCCGUCUAGUGCAGAGCUUGUUCCGAAUAUGCCAAGUUGGCCUAGUUUGUCGUGUGUAGGUGAAGGUAUGCAAGGACCCGUUAUGCAUCCAAUACCUUUGCCAGCUAGCUCUGAGAUCUCUUUAAGAGGGCCAAACAUUCGUGGAACUGAGCAGCUUAUCCGUCGCAUCAGACUGCAUGUGGCUAUGAAUGUCAAAAACCAUAUUGAGGAGAGGAUUUCAAAGUGCCCAUUGGAAGACCUUGCGUUGCUCAAGGAGGAUUUAUCGGAGUUUGUUUCUACGAUUGAUGACCUUAAAGUUGAUUCCUCGCCCUUGAGAGUUCAGAUUGCCGAACUUAUGGCCGCCUCAACUGAGUAUUCUUCCUUGCGUGCUAUUUCCUCGAAAAAGUUGAGUCCAGAUGUUAUAGCUCAACAACUUGCUGGAAUAGACUUAUCAAUUACCCAAGUCUGGUUUUCUCAGCAAGUUGCUUCAGAAGAUUAUCAAUUCACAGGAACCUCUUUAGCUUCCGUCUAAGUGCGUCUGGAAGUGUAGGUGCGGGAGAGAGAGCAGUUGGGAAUCAAACCAUCACGACUUGAAUAUGUUUUUUCGGAGCAGAAAGCUACAAUUUCUCAGUACCAAAAGGAGAUGUCACACCUAGAGCAAGAGAAAUGUAUGGUAAUAGAGUCGCCCACCUUGUCUCCUACCGAUGUGGAGACUUUAAAGACUUUGGAAGGCCUGCUUGAGGAUCGUUGCUGUAGUUUUAGGGACAUAGUUCUCAAGUAAUGUCUUCCUUAAGCCUUCUUUCCUUCUGAUCAAUUUUUUUUUUUGUAAAUAAAGCUUUGUUGCCAAAUCCUUCCUUUAAAGAAAUAAAGUAUUCACAUAUUGAAUUUGCUCUUUAUUCCUCAAAGUGUUUGUGUUUUUGUUGAUGAUGUGAUUGUACUUGAAGUUUUGAAGUUUCAAGUUGCAUACGUACCCUCAGUUGAAGAGGGAUCAAGUCAUGACAUAGUUCAAAUAUAUUUUUUUUUUGAAUUUUUUUUUGUGUCGUACGUAGUUUAUGCUCUUGUGGGCCAGAAGCAUAGUCCGUUUGUUUUAGGAGUAAUAGCGCUUCAAGAAUCUGCCAUUGAUGAGGCCGAUCUUCAAGCCAUCUUCUACCAUGAUUAAGCAUGCGUCAUUAGUGUAGACUUCUUGUAUUACAUAAGGUCCAUCCCACUUUGAUGUCAACUUGCUUUUUGUUUUGUGAGUUGUGAUGAUAGGCCUACGCAAUACAAGGACAAGAUUUCCCAUUUGAAAAGAACAAGGGCGAACUUUCUUUUUUGAAGGCCUUGGUGAGUUGUGCUUGAUAACACUACAAGUGUUGGUAAGCUUCGAGCCUUCUCUCAUCCAGCGCUUCCAGCUCUUAAAAGCGUAACUUUGCAUUCUCUUCUUCAAUCAAGCCUUCUAGUAUGGCCAUCCUUAGUGAGGGGAUUUGACUAUCGAGUGGUAGAACAUCUUCCACGCCAUAUACGAGAGAAUAAGGUGUAGCUUGGGUAGGAGUCUUAUGUGUCUUCCUAUAUAACCAAAGUGCUUCGCUUAUUUUUUCAUGUCAGUCUCUUUUUGUUUGGCCGAUCACAUUCUUUAGGUGGUUGCACAAUGUUUUGUUGAAUGCUUCCGUAAGACCGUUGGCCGGAGCAUGAUACAUGGAAGACUUGUGCUGCUGGAACUUGUAUUCCUCGCAGUGCUCGUCCAUGAGUCGGUUGGAGAACUGUUUUUCGUUGUCAGUGAUAAUGUAGUGAGGCACACCAUAUCGGUGGAUCACCUAGUAGCAUUUCAGUAACGAGCGGGAUCACCCAUCUUUGGUAAACUGGCACGUCUGCAGCUUCGUCUUCUCCUAGUGCCAUACUCGAGGCUAGGUUGGCGAGAGCGUCUGCCAUUUGAUUUUCUUUUCUUGGCACAUGUUCUAGUGUCACAGUCUCGAACUUCUGUAGCAGUUGGGUUGCCAGUUGGAAGUAUGGGACGAGAUCAUCUUUCCUCACCUCAUAUUCAGUUAAGAGUUGAUUGAUUAUGAGCUUGGAGUAGCCAAAUACCUCAAGGGCUGUGAUUCCCAUGUUGAUCGCCAUUUGGAGCCCGAUGAUCAGUGCUUGGUACUCAGCGACGUUGUUGAAGCAUAGUUCGCAUAGUCGGAUGGCAUAAGGUAAUAUUUGCCUAUGUGGCAACAUGAAUACUACUCAUGCCCCUGCGAUCCGUUAAAGAACAUCGUCUAUGUCAGAAAGAUGUCGAUGUAGAACACCUUAUCGUCAAGCAAGUCGUCUGAGAUUUUCCAAUCGGCUGGGAUUGGAUGAUCGGUAAGGAAAUUUGCAGGCCUUUGUCCCUUGACGGCUUUAGCUGGGACGUAGAUGAUCUCGUAUUGAUUGAGAAGCAACGCCCAUUUAGCUAGUCGCCCUGUCAACACUGGUUUCAACAUGACGUAUUUGACUGGGGCAGCUUUAGCAACCAAGUGGAUGGUGUAAGCAUGUAUGUAAUGCCUGAGCUUUUGGAUGGCGAACACCAAGGCGAGGCGCAUCUUUUCUAUUGGGGAGUAGUUCAACUCGACGCCGAUGAGAGUUCGGUUGAGGUAGUAGAGCGCUCUUUCUUUUUGGGAUUCAUUAUCUUGUGCGAAGAGUGCUCCAACUGAACUUUCCUGUGCGGCGAUAUAUAAUAUGAGCGGUUUUUCGGGCACAGGCGCCCCCAGGACAAGUAGACUUGAUAAAUAUUUUUUUAUGCUUUCAAAAGCAUUGUGGCAUGCUUCGUCCCACAUGAACGGAACAUCCUUCUUCAUGAUUCGACUAAACGGUUGACAACGCCCUGUAAGGUUGGAGAUGAAACGCCUGAUGAAGGCUAGUCAUCCUUGUAGACUAUUCAGCUCAUGCAAGUUUCUUGGUUCAGGCAUGCUUUGAAUGGCCUUGAUCUUUGAUUGGUCCACUUCAAUGCCACGGUGCUUAACAAUGAAGCCAAGGAACUUUCCAGAGGUGAUGCCAAAUGCGCACUUUAACGAGUUCAUCUUGAGGUUGUAUUUUCACAACCUUUCGAACACUAUUCGUAAAUCCUUCAAGUGAACUGAUCUUUUCUUUGUCUUGACCACCACAUCGUCUAAAUAACAUUCUAUGUUUUUGUGUAGCAUGUUAUUGAAGAUUUUCUGCAUUGCGCGUUGAUAUGUGGCUCCAGCGUUCUUCAGGCCAAAGGGCAUCAUCUUAUAACAUUAGAUACCUUUUGGAGUGCGAAAGGCUGUUAGUUCCUCGUCUUCAAGUGCCAUGCAGAUUUGAUUGUAUCCAGAAGAGUCGUCCAUGAAUGACAGCGCUUUAUGGCCAGUGGUUGCGUCCCCUAUUAUUUCGAUGAUUGGCAAGAGGAAGUCGUCCUUCGGGAAAACAUCGUAGAGGUCCCAGAAGUCUACGCAAACACGUAUUUGUUCAGAUUUCUUAAGGACAAUGACAAUGUUAGAGAUCCACUUGGGGUAUUGCACCUCUCGAAUAAAGCCUAUUUCGAUUAGCUUGUCAAUCUCAACCUCAAUUUGUGGGAUGAGCUCCUAUCGACAGCGCCUUUGAGUCUGCUUUAUCGGUCGCGUUCCAAGCUUGACUGCAAGAUGAUGCACAGCGAUGACAGGGUCAAGGUCGGGCAUUUCCUUGUAGGUCCAAGCAAAGACGUCUUUGUAAUAUAGCAGCCGUUGGUAAUACUCUUUUGUCUCUUUCGCACUUAGCAGCGCACUUAUGAAGAUAGGCUUCGACUCCUCUUUUGUGCCUAAGUUGAGCUCCUUGAGAUCAUCAACUGUGGCUUGCCCUCUAUCCUCAAGUUAUGGUGGUGCGGUAGUGACGUCUUCCUCGGGGAUUUAAUCUUUUUUUCCUUCUUGGAUCAUGAUGUGAAAGACGUCUUGUUCCUCCUUUUCAGAGCUGUCCUUUCGAGCUUGUUAGCAUAAAGAUUAGCCAGUGUGGAUGAUGGUGCGCCUUCUCACUUUCAGUGAUCCAAUUGUGUCAACCUCCAAGAUUUCUUAGCGCUACAUCCUUGAAGGAAUAGAGCUUCGAACGUCACCUUUUUCUGCUAGCUUGUCUAACUUUUCUUCUUUUGGCGUUGUCUUCCUUUUUUUCAAAGGCUUCUUGUUGUCUUCAAGUCUCUCCAAAGCUGACCGUCGCGGAAGAUAGCUUGCCGUGUUGCUUUGUUUAUUAGGUUUUGACGAUAUUUCAAAAACAGAGCUUUGGGAUGUUGGCACGUUAAGCCUCUUGAACACGGAGGUUUGGUCAUGACCACCAAUGCGAUUAAAUGCCGAAAUUCUGGGCCUUGAACGAUUCAUCCUAUCGAAGACUGACGUUCGAGGGGUGGAUUUAGGUUCAUGCUCACGCUGAUGUGUUGAGUGCUAGCGUUUUUCGCUUUGCUUGAAAUCUUCACGAGUGCAUUUAGUGUGAAGCCAAGUCCAGCUUUAUUGUUGUUGAUUCCGUAACCAUGCUUCUUCAACUUCUUUUGAGUCUCGGUAAGGUCACGUUCUUUAUUGUUGACGGUGUUUAAAACUUUCUUUCCAGGAUUCGAAGAAGAAUAAAAGUCGUACCCAGCCUUCGACAUGAGCUUGUAGGCAUUUGGAUCAAAACCUUCUUCGGUUCUCUUGGUUGGAAGAAAGCUUGGUUCCACCCACUUUGGUAGAGCUUUUAUGAAGCCUUGUGGUAGUCUUGCAACCUUAACAUCGCCUAGAUGUGUCAGAGGAAAAACUGCAUUUGUUUUGAGCAACUUCACAUUAUCCUAGUGCCAUUGUGUGUCGGCUUUGCUUACUCCAGUUUUGAACGGGGAUUAACCAUUAUUUCUUCUUGACAUCAGGAUGUAUCGGAAUACGGGUAUGUUCGGUCCUUUUGAAGGCGUCCUACUCCCUUUGGUUGUUGCAGGUUUAACAGGCUCGUCAUUAUUUUUGCCUAAAAAUGGCAUGGCUUGCCAUUCUUGCUUUUUAGGUGCUGCUUUGCCCGUGGAUUUGAUCUCUUCUAGAAGAGCUUCAGGCAUUAUGUCUUUGUCCAUGUAGAACUUGGAGGAUGUAAUGUAACCCCCAGUGCAUUCCUUGAACGCACAUCUCAAUGGCAGAGGUUUCAGAAAGCCGAUCUUUGCAAUCCAGACUUAACGAACACCAUCUAUUGAUGUAGUUGACGACAGGUUCAUCCUUCCAUUAUUUUGUACUAGUCAGCUCUAGCAUGCUUACCGUGCGGCGAGUGUUAUAGAAGCGAUUGAGGAACUCCCUCUCUAGCUGAUCCUAAUUAUUGAUAUAUUAAUGCUCGAGGUUGGUAUACCAGUCAAAAGUGUUACCUUUCAGCGAGCGCACGAAUUGCUUGACGAGGUAGUCUCCUUCCAUUCCAGCAUUGUUGCAUGUUUUAAUGAAGUGGGCGACAUGUUGCUUUGGGUUUCCUUUUCCAUCGAAUUGCAUGAAUUUUGGCAGCUGAUAACCCUUCAGCAUCUUUAAAGCAUCAAUCUUCUUAGAGUAGGGCUUUGAGUAUAGUACGGAGUCAUGUGAGCUUCCUUCGUACUGCGCCUUGAUAGUGCUGGCGAUCAUCUUCUGUAGCUACUAGAUAGAAAUAGAUCCUAUGAGUGCUGCUGCUUGGUCUAGCUCCGGCUUCACAUCGACUUUCUCCACCAGAGGCUAAUCUUCUUCGCCGGCUCUUCUCUUUAGUGGAUUAACCUUUGGGUCGGGUUUCUUGUCAUCAUAUGCUUCUAGUCGAUUGACGAGUGCAGCGAUUUACAAGUCUUUUUCUUCAACAGUUCGUGUUAGCCUUGCAAUCGCUUCAUUCAUUUGAGCCAGCUGUUCAUCGAUUGAAGUCGCUCUGGUGGUCAUGACUUGCAUGGCUGAACUGCUGCUUGAGUCGGCAUCGAAAAACAUGGAAUCAGAGUACUUCAUUGGGGUUUCCUCCCUUGGUGCCCUUAAUGAGGCCAGGGUGAUCACAAGCUCGUGCCUCGGGUGUUCUUGUUCCUUUGGCAGAGUGUAUGCAGAGGUAGAAGAAGCGGCAAAAAGAGCUUUUGCCUUGCUUCUAGUUAUGAUGACUGAAGUGACACCACUUAUGGCGAUGACGCUCUUGUUUUUCGUGUUGGUUGUAGGAACUGCUUGAACCUUCCUUGAUGCCAUUUGAUUUUCGAAUGUGUGCUCUGAUUUCCUUGAACAGAGAAAGAGAUGAAAGGUAGGGAUGGUCCCAUCGGGCGUGCCAAAUUUGUAAACACAGAAAUUCCUGUGAUGAAUGAGACAAGAACACGUGUACAAAGUAAUAUUUGUAUUAAUGAUUUUGUGGUUACAAUCUCUUCUAUAAACUUAGCCUCUGAUUCGAUCUUCGUAAGGUGUUGAUUUGUGGAUGGGUUGUUGAUCCAAAGGGUCGUCGGGGCUUGAUCUUUGGGAUGUAUAUUUGUGUAGAUUUAUGGAUGGGCUGCUGAUCCAAAGGGUCGUCGGGGCUUGAUCUUGAAAGAGGAUUUGAAGAAUAACGGAAGGAGCUUUCUAGAUCCUUUGGGAUUUGCUUGGGAGCUUUAGAGUUUCAAAGCUUCAAGGUUUUGGUGUGAUGUGAAUUGGUGAUGAAUUGGUGAACUUAAAUCAAGCACGAUAUUCCACGUGAUUGAUGCAAGAACUUCCUACAGCCUGCUCGAAGGAAGGCAUUGGAUCCACGGGAAUGGAGUAGUGCCAUCCACCCUCCACCAAUGCUUAAAAUUCUACCAGUUCAGAGAUCGAAAAGGCACUGCUCUCUGAAUUUAAAAAGUUGGAUUUACUAGAUCAAAGUUUGUCGCCACCCUUCACACGCAACCUCAACUUUGCAGAAAGCGUGGGCAACUUUGUCAAAGAUUUCUGACAAAGUCGAAAACGCACGAAUCUUACUGUUUCAAUUACCCAAUGGUUGACGACAAAAGUAAAAGAAUAGUGCCACUACUGGCUGUUAGGAAAUUCCUAUAUAUGUCAACAUUCGUCCUCCAUAGCAAGGCAGACUUGUAAAAAUGCCCAACCCUUCCUCACCUCCGAGAGUACACUUCCAACAAAGCCUCUUGAAAUACUCAGCUUUCUUCCUAUCCGGGAAUACCCUUGCAAACAAAUGACAUCAAAGCAAAAGUAUCUCAUAUCACCAGGGUCGAAAGCAAGAGUAUCUCAUAUCAUGCUUUUUCCCUAUCUUUUCCUUUACCCUUGCCCUUACUUGCAAGACAAGGAGAAAGAAAGCAAUCAGUCGGAAUCUGAAAUCAAACUUCCGAUCUGGAACUGAUUGCCCUGAACCUUUGCCUGGUUGCUUACCUAACAUUGCUCUUGAGUGCUCAUCGUCGCUAAGAAGUAGUGCUCUGAAAGACCAUUUAAAUGCAAAGGUUGCAUUCCACUCCUGCAUCGAGGGCAAAUACUACAAGAGAUCGAAGCAGAAUGAUCAAUGAUGAGCCGGAACAUAUCACUAUAGCACGACGCCCUUCCCUACAGAACCGCGUAACCCAGAUGGAGGAGUCUAAAUCAAAUCCAAGCUCGGCAUCGUUGCCUUAAUCAAAGAGCUUAAAAAGCUUCAACAGCCUUUCGCCGGCACCGUUGCCGAAGAGCAAAGCCUCGCUGUGCAACGCUGUCAAAUCGCCACCACUUCUUCGAAAGCAAGAGUAUCUCAUAUCAUGCUUUCUCUCUGUCCCUUUCCUUGUCCUUGUUCUUACCUACAGGACAAGAAGAAAGAGAGAAAUCAGUCAGAACUUAAAGUCAAACUCCCAGUCAGGAACCGACUGCCUGAAACCCUUCCCUGAUUACUUUCCUAGCAUUGCUCUGCUGGGGAAAUAGACAAGGCAGCAGAAGAUACCACAUCUACCUGAAGAACAGAUAAGGCAAGUGAAAAUGAUACAUUGAAGCAUGUGGAAACAAGCACAACAAAACACGUGUCGAUUCAUCCGCUACUUCUUCAAAAACAAAAAUAUCUCAUAUCAUCAAGGUUGCAAUUAUUCUAGAUUUGGCGGACUUAUUUUAACCCUUAAAUUCUUGAGUCGACUCGCUAGGAGUUGUGAGUUGCACAUGCCGAUUCACCACCCUUAAAUCAAAUCCUUAAAGAUCAAGUCACCAACUUGAAGAAAUCACGUCUGAUUCAAGAUCAAGUGUCCACCAUCCUUGAACCAAAUUCAGCUCCAGAUAAAAAGAGUAAAUCCAGACAUUUUGGUGCAAGUCUAGCAGAAGAAACCCCUUAGCCCAGUUCAAGAAUAAGCCUAUGGAAAGUCAACAAUUGGAGGAAACCAGAAAAUCAUCCAAUCCAGUUCAAGAUCAAAGCUGUGGAAAUUCAACAAACGCAACAAAAUACGUGCCGAUUCAUCCACUACCAAAGCCAAAGAUCAUCUACCACGUGAAGCUCCUUGUGGUCCAAUUUAAUUCAAGAUCAAACCUUGACCGCCCUUGAAGAAAUUUCAAACAAAGUUCAAGAACAAGCCUUAACAGCUAUUGAAGAAACUUCCAGCCCAAUUCAAGAUCAAGCCUCAACGGCCCUUGAAGAAAUCUCCAGCCCAAUUCAAGAUCAAGCCUCGAUAGCCCUUCAACAUCUACAUUAAGGGACUUCAAAACGCAUCUCUUACACAUGACAAGCACAUGUAUAUGACGCGCCUUGAAGUGGGGGCAUUUGUAGACAUCGAAAUUUCGGUGAAAUAAAUGUUGACCAAUAAUUACAAUUUCAACGCUCACGUGUCACAUAAAUUUUACACGUAGCGUGUGACUAAACGAAAAAUCAAAAUAAAUCAGAAAAGUCAUCAAAUAAGGACACGUGUCAACACCUGGCAUAAAUGAAUUAUUUCAUCUGAAUAUUAUAUUCAAAAUUAGGCCUUGAAAAAUUCUAUAAAUACAAGGCCAUUUCAUUCAUUUUAGGACACCAAUUCAUCACCAAUUCACAUCUCACCAAAACCUUGAAGCUUUGAAACUCUAAAGCUCCUAAGCAAAUCCCAAAGGAUCAAGAAAGCUCCCUCCGUUCUUCGUCAAAUCUUCCUUCAAGAUCAAGCCCCAACGGCCCUUGAAGAACGUCCACCAAUUCAAGAUCAAGCCCUGACGGCCCUUGAACAAAGUAUUCAUCAUUCAUCAUCUAUUCAUCCUAAGAUCAAACCCCAACGGCCUUUUGGAUCAACAACAUCAACAAAUCCACACAUCCGUUCUUCAAGAUCAAGCCCAAAAGUCCUUGAAGAUCCAUUCAUCCGUUCGUCCAGAUCAAGCCCAACGGCCCUUGAAAAAACCAUCCGUACACCACUGUUCAUCCUAAAGAUCAAGCCCCGACGGUCUUUUGGAUCAGCAGCCCAUCCAUAAAUCUACACAACUAUACAUCCUAAAGAUCAAGCCCCGACGACCCUUUGGAUCAACAACCUAUCCACAAAUCAACACCUUACCAAGAUCGAAUCAGAGGCUAAAUUUGUAGAAGAGAUUGUAACCACAAAAUCAUUAAUACAAAUAUUAUUUUGUACACGUGUUCUUGUCUCAUUCAUCACAGGAAUUUCCGUGUUUACAGUGAUAUAAUCAUCUCAGUGAGUAUUUGAUCAAAGAAGGGUAUACCAACGAUAUCAUUUGCCCUUAUGUGUUCAUUAAAAAAUCCAACUCUAGAUUUGUUAUAGUGGCAGUAUGUGUUGAUGAUAUGAACCUAGUUUGAACCCCUGAAGAACUCAAUAAAACUACUGAAUAUCUGAAAAGUGAAUUUGAAAUUAAGGACCUUGGAAAAACAAAAUAUUGUCUUGGCUUGCAAAUCGAGCAUUGUGCUAGUGGAAUUUUGGUCCACCAAUCAGCUUACAUUGAAAAAAUCCUGAAACGAUUUGGCAUGGACAAGACUUAUUCACUAAGCACGCCAAUGGUCAUUCGUUCUUUGGACGUUAAGAAAGAUCCAUUCCGUCCAAAAGAAGAUGAUGAUCUGGUCAUUGGUCCAGAAGUACCAUAUUUGAGUGCAAUAGGUGCUUUAUUUUAUUUAGCACAAUGUACUAGACCAGAUAUAGUUUUUUCAGUCAACUUGUUAGCAAGAUAUAGCUCUACUCCAACAAUUUGUCAUUGGAAGGGAGUCAAAAAUGUAUUGCGAUACCUUCGUGGGACAACAAACAUGAGUCUCUUUUACUAAAAGAAAUCCACAAAUGACAAGGUCCUUGUUGGAUAUGCAGAUGCUGGUUUUCUCUCUGAUCCGCAUAAGGCCUGCUCACAAACUAGAUAUGUGUUCAAGAAUGUAGAUACAGCAAUCUCUUGGCGCUCAACAAAGCAAACAUUAGUUGCUACAUCUUUAAAUCAUUCAGAAAUACUUGCUUUACAUGAAGCAAGUCGUGAAUGUUCUUGGUUAAGAUCAAUGAUCCAUCAUAUUCGGAAUUCAUGUGGUCUACCCUCAAAGACAGACACUUCAACUGUCAUCUAUGAAGAUAAUGCAACCUAUGUUGCCCAAAUGAAAGAAUGAUUCAUCAAGGGCAAUAAAACUAAACACAUAUCUCUAAAGUUUUUCAGUGCACAUGAGCUUAAGAAGGCUAAAGUUAUUAAAGUCAGAUAAAUCCGUUCCAAUGAAAAUCUAGCAGACUUGUUCACCAAAUCUCUACCAAAAUGCACGUUUCAGAAGAUAGUGCAAAGUAUUGGAUUAUGUCGACUUACCCAUCAGAUAAAUUUGGAGAAUGCGAAAUCAAUGGGAGAUAUAUAUCAGGAGGAGCAUCCAUGAUACAUGCAUGUUGUACUUUUUUUCUUUCGCUAUGGUUUUUUUUUCCACUGAGUUUUUCCAAGCAAUGUUUUAAUGAGGCAACUGAUGUUGAUAUGUGGGCAUUCAAGGGGGAGUGUUGAAAACAUUGGCAGUGUUGAAAAUGUUUGGCAGAUUAAUGAAUGCCCACACAGAUUUUCAAUACCCACACAGUAAUGUGGACUUUGGAAAUGAAGGAGAUCGUAUUUUCAAAAGAUGUGUGUUGUAAAUUUCAAAAUGUAAUAAUACGUUUGUUUGGAGUUGCUCUAUAAAUAGAGCGCUCCGACUACUAUCAAGAUAUACAGAAAGAACAAGAAAUAUCAAUAACAUCAUUAUCUAUCCCUCCCUCUUUUAUUUGUCAUCCCCUUGUGUUAUAGUUACAGUGUGAUAUUUUACACCUACUUCGCUCAUGUCACUAGUAAAGGUUAUCUCUCUAACUUUUACCUAUUUAUAACAAUGUUUGAUUAUUGCAUAGAUGAAGAAAUGAACUAAAGUUUUUGUACAGAAAGUCUUGAUUUUUAUUGUUCUUUUGGAAUGAAGAAAGGGAUGCAAAAACAAAAGGGUGGCGUGGAAUCACAAUUUUAAGGCCUAGAGUAAAACAAUGGUCCCUCAACUUUAAUCAAAUUGGAGCAAUGGUCCCUCAACUAAAAAUUCAUUACCAUUGGUUCUUCAACUCAUCAAAACAUGUAGUUAUGGUCUUAUUUGUCAACUUCAUCAGAAUUUUGUCAAAAUGGGCUAUGUUGGAAUGACCAUUGCUACUAUUGGGUUGAGGUUGAGGAACAUUUCUUAAAUUGGGUUAAAGUUGAAAGGAAAGAAACAAUGUUGUUUUUCAAAAUAAUACCAUCAACCCAUUUAGAAUUGUGUUAUUGCCACUAAAUUUGGUGAAGAUUAUUUAAAUGCAAAUAAAAAAAGUUAGUAAAAGAAAACUUGUUUAUCAAAUGGUCUCCUCCAUGAAGGGGGAACCUUAAACUAAACUUUGACAGUUCUGUAAUUAACAGCCAUGUUGCUGUUGCUGGCCUUGUUGUGAGGGUUGAAAAUGGCACCCGUAUUCUUGUUGGAGCUUGGGAGAAAACACUAUCAAUGUUGCGGAAUGUGUUGGUCUGAGAGAUGCGCAUUGGAUGGCUAGAUCCCAGGGUUUCAGAAAAAUCCAAAUUGAGGGUGACUCGAAGCCUGUGAUUGACUCUAUUCUUAGUCGUUGCUUGAUUCCUUGGAGAUUAAAAAUCAUUAUUGCAGAUAUCAAGAUCUUGGCUAGCUGGUUUGAGGACAUCUCUUGGAGCCAUAUCUUUAGGGAGGCCAACUUUUUGGCAGAUGCAAUCACGGAUGUGGGUUUUAGAUUUAGCAACCUUCAUGUGUGGGAUAGAACUAUUCCUAGUGUUGCUCAUACAGCACUCCUAUGUGAUUGUAUGCAACCUGGAUAUACUCGUGGUCAUUCUUUUUAAUUUUACUGUCUUUUCUUUCAAAAAAGGAAAAAAAUAAAAAUAAAAAAGCUUGAAAUGGGCCGGGGCAGAUUUUCUUGGUUCAAAGUUAAAAGUUUUUCGAAAGAGAAACAUGCAUAAUCAUGAUUGAGGGAUCACAUCAUAUAUCAAUGUUGUGUUGCAUGUGAUCAUUCGGUUGAGUGAUACUCUGUUUUCAUUUCUUUAGAAGAUAAAUUGAAUAUAAAUAGUACCUGAUGAAAACUGAUCAUACGAUGUACGAUGAAGAUAAAUUGAAUAUAAAUAGUACCUGAUGAAAACUGAUCAGACGAUAUACGAUGAACGGAUGUAAUUGGAGGAUUCUGAGGAUCCUCAUUCCCUUAUAUCCACACGACAUAUCAUUCAAAUUUGAAGAGUGAUGUGUCAACUCUAAAUCUAUAUGAGAGCCAAGAAAGAAAAAUAAAGCAAAAAACAUAAUCGCAUUCUUGAAAUCCCAAUAAAGGCAGCCAGGCACUAAAUUCUGCGUGUGAUUAUUAGAGCUCUUUUAGGUGUGGUGGCUUAAGAUAACGAGAACAUUUCACUGUAUAUGAGUUUUAACUUUUUAGUGCAUUGGAGAUGAUUUAAAUUGGACAGCGAUUGAAAUUAGAAAAUGGCAAAAAAACAACACAAGUAUGAAGUUUCACAUGUGCAAUAAUUGAUCGAUUCAUACCAACAUUUAUACUUUCAUUGUUUUCAACAUAGAAUUGAGAUUUUCUUCAUCGAUUUAGUUACAAUAAUUCAUAAGUCACAUGCAUAAUUAAUUGAUGACUAAAAAGUAAUCGAGAAAUGUUAACAAGACUCAAAAGUAGGACUUUCCACUGACACCUCGUAUUGCCCAAUCAAAAUGUCCUCUUUUUUCCUCUCCCAUUUCCUUACCUCUGUCUAUUGCAUUGGCACAAUAAAUCAAGUCGUACCCAGUGCACAAGGCUCCCGCUUUACGCAGGGUCUGGGAGAGGUGAAUGUCGGCUAGCCUUACCCCCAUUUAUGGAAAGGCUGCUCCCAAGCACAAUAAAUCAAGUGAGUGAACAAAAUUUCGAGAGAGAGAGAGAGCUUAAUGCUUGCAUUGGCACGAAAUCAGAUCAGUGAACAAAAUUUCUACAAUGGAUCCAUACGUACACAAAGAAAAACCUUACAGUUAUUUGAAUCGCCGAUAUUUUAGCUCCCUUGUUGGACGCCAUACUUGUCAAAAGGCCUCAGAAGUCUCCAUUGAAACGUUUCCCUAAGCACAAGUAUAUAUUGAUGCCAUUGACGACUAGCUGCUUCAUCACCUCAUCGCUGCUGUUAAUGCUUUCAGAGCCCUUCUUACACUUCACUCUUAGUAAGAUGAGGUUCAGCAAAUGAAGAUGGGUUCUCAGAAGGUCCAGUUCCGGUAUCUCCAUUCUCAAUGGGCAGUUGUUCCUCGUUGUACCUCGAUCUUGACGAGCAUUUACUCAGUGCUUCUGGUUGUACAACCAUCAUAUUGCCAACUGCUUUUGAGUCCUGACUACAAUCAGAAUCAUUUACCAAGUUCUCACAAGGCCCGUCAAUACUGGCAGCAUCAUCAGCGGAGGAUGGCUGAUUACUCGUGCUUCCAUUCUUGUUUUCAGUUUCCAUUCUAUCACUUUCUGAAAUGACACCUGGAACUUCAGCAUCUUCGACCACUUGUGAUUCAACAGGCAUAGAUGCAGAUGGGGGAGUCUUUUUAUACACAGUAUUGUCCUCAGAUGUCUUGCAAAUAACAGCGGGUUCAAUAUCGUGGCUGUGGUGAUCAUCAGGAUGAGUUACUGUGCAUUGCUCCACAAACUCCAUUGUUGAGGAAGGGAUAUUCAUGUCCUCAUCCAUCGUAUUUUCUUGGCUAUUUCUAUUUAAGAUGUCAUCCUCAAAUCCAGUUGUGCGGGCAUCAUCAGCAGGAGGCAGGUCUUCAAGCUCUCUGUUAAACAAUGACCUCUGUCUGCUUUCAGGGAAGACACUGCUAGACACAACCUCGUCAACAGAAUGCAACCCGGGUGGGGAAAUGCAGAUGGAUGACGGGUCGACAUCCAUCUCAUCGCAAGUAAUUUCUUCUCCAUAACUCUCAUUACAUAUGUCAUCUCCACAUGCUACCAAACUACUCGAUUCAGUAGCCACUUUACCCUUGGUUCUCUCAGCAGCUACAUCUCCAUCUCCAUCCCCACAGUUAUUCUCAUUUAGAGAUAAUACUUCCUCAUUUAUUGGAUCCUCAUUUACUAAUUCUUGAUCUCGAUUGGCAAAAAAUGCCACAUCCAUUGCGGUAUUGUUGCUUUCCAAAUUAUUUAGUCCACUUAAUUGCUUCUGUACAAAUACUGCUAAAGAAACAGCAUGAUCACGAAUCAAAGAAUCAUGAGGUGGGCAGUGCAGCAAAUCAAUCAAGGCCUUGUGGUACUGCAAAAGGCUGAUAGAUGGUGUAGACGACCUUUUCCGGCAAACGUUAAUAACUUUGAGUAUAUGUUCACACAGGUUGCCCAUUUCUGCCCAACGACAGUUGCAAAUACUGAACUGAGAACCAGGGUUCCAAACAACAUAAACCCUGUCUUGGUCGAGCUCGUCAAUAACUUUUGCACGUGUACCCUCUAUGACAAUAUUGCGGUCAGGAAUCUUCAAAGCUUUACGCCAAGAUGUUAAACCACUCGCCCACUCAUCUUUCCAAUAUCGUGCAAAAUCAUCCUUCUCAGAAUAUUCAUCAAGCCAGAAGUUGGAAUACACUUUUGUACCGAGCUUAUCAACCAACCAAUCAACUCGUUUGUACACGCUAGGUUUCUUCUCGUUCAAUAACCGAAGCUUUAGUUGGUUGUGGUAGAACUCCAUUGCCGCAGAGGUUUCCUGGCUAGCAAGAGGAAGAUUUUGUAGCGCAGAGAUCCACAUCCCUAAGUCAAAAGACAUUUUUCUUGUAUGAGUUCUUCAAGAUAAAGCAAAAGAGAAAUGGUUCCUAUUUAAAGAGAAGGGGGAGAAUGAAAAUGAAAAACGCUACUAUCUCCAAGACCAAGUUUUAUCUUGAUCCCACACAAUACAUUGAUCUUCUGCCACAUAAAGGUUGCCUUAAAUUCGGCAGCCCAAUUGUUAACAUAACCUAUUCCCAUCUACGCAGAGAAAUAUAUCGCAUGCCAAGCAUUCACGUAUCAGCAUAUGAAGAUACCAUUACACAAACACAUAUACGUGAACAUCCACAAAUUUAUCCACUUAUAUUGUAGAAUUUAUGAGCAUAUUGUAUGCGUGCAUAUGUUGACCUGUAUGUAUGCAACACACAAUCAAAUCAAUCUUAUGCAUAACAAUUGGCAGGUUAGGUCUUAAGAGAUACAUACAUAGGCAUAGAUGUAGAUUAGUAAUGAUAAGAACCAAUUAAAGGACACUUGUUACUUCGUAUCAUAAGGCAAAAUAUACCUGUACUAAAUAUGAUAGUGACUUACCAGUUCUAGGAUACCAGGUUGCCUUAAAGUAAUCCAUAAAAUCUGAUUCAUCAAGAAAAUCUUCUAUUAAGUCCUCAAACAAACGCUCAGUUCCUCGUUGUUCACAGAUGUUAUCCAUUGCCUGAUGAAGCCUUCUUGAUAUUGUAGCUCGCAUCUCAUUGUCCACACAUUUCUUUACUAAGUUUUUAUGCCAUGCAUGACGGACCCGCCAAAAGCUUAUCAACACUGAACACUGGAAUACAUCCCUGAGUAUAAUGAAAAAACAAUAUUUACUUAUCAAUUCAUGCAUGUAUUAAUCCAUUAAUAACAUGAAGAAGAAAUACUAUUAUGAAUCAUGUCAGACUGCCUUGCUCCAUGUCAGAUAGUUGACUGUAAUGUCACUGGCCCAAACCCCAAAAAGGCAUAGCAUAAAAUUGGAUAUCAAAACAAAGAAAAAGAAUGAUUUAUUUUCCGGCCUUCAGCUUUGAUUUUAAACAUUUGUUGGCAUUCACAAGACUCAGUUGAAUUAAAUUACAAGUUGUAAAAACCAUGCACAACAAAUCACUCAAUACUGAUGCAUAAACUAGAUAGUCUGGCCCGAUCAAGAGGAAUCAUUAAUUUGAAGGAGAGCAACCCACCCGCUUAGCAUAAUAAAAAUACAAUUGGAUAUUUUAUUUAUAAGUAAACAACUGAAAUUGAAUAUAUUGCAAUAGGUUAAUCAGUAAUCAUGUAGUUAUUUCACAUUGCCACUUCUGUAGGAAAUAACCUACGGACUGUUUGCUACCAAACAAAACAUUAGUGACUAAAAUUGUCAGUAUGAAGUUUGGACGAGAACUGAGCAACCAACCUGAUGGUGAGCACAUCAGCUAGAGGAUCAUCCACUAUGAAACCAGCUAACUUCCAUGCAGGAUCUUUCGUUUGAACUCUAUUGUAAAGAGCUCUCAUCCAUUUAUGGGCAUUGGAACUUUCAAACUUUGGAGCCACUAUCCACGCUACCGGAAUGGCCUUGUUGUCUUCAUUAAAUACAAGGAGACUAUGCACGGGAUACUAAAUAACGUUGCAACGUGAACACAUUCAGUUUCUCAUUAUUAUUAACAAUUGUAGUUAAUAAUAAAAGGUUAAACAUACUAAACAGACCUUCAAUUUGGUUGUUCCGAACCUUGAAUCAGAAGCUAUAAGGCUGCGAUUGCCGAAGCGAAUCAUCUGUUGCAACUGCCACUCUGUUUGAAUGCCCAAAGUGAAAGGGUCCACAUCAGAGAAAUCCUCAUAGAAGAAAACAUGACUCUGAUGGUUUUCUACCCACAAGCUAAUGCUAACCACAUCAUCGGCAUCCAAUUCAUAUACAGAACGUCGAAUGACCCUCUCCUGCCUCCGAACAUACCUAUGGGUUAAAAGGUCAUCACGAUUAGAUGGACCACCCUGUUUCUCUACUGAUUCAUUGUGUCUCUGCAUUAUAGUCUCCACAGAGACCCCCACGUAUAACAAAGAUUGCACACGAAGACGUAGAUCCUCAGAGAUAUAAGGGGCAAACAUAGCACGUGUUCCAGCAGCCAUCUUAUCUUGGGGGCCAUGGCAGGGCUCUCCUUUCCUAUCUACAUGCUUAUCCUGAUUAUAUAUAAUAAGCGCCACUGAGGGUUCAGCAAUUAAUCGUUUCACAAUAAAGUGACAGGUACAACCUCUCUUGGUGUUCGGUCGACCAGCAUUUUUCUUCUUUGGGAUAUUAACCCUGCUGGGUCGUACAAGCCCACCCUUCCUAUGGUCAUCAGGACCAAAGGAACACCAAUAUCUACACAUUUGAAAAAAGAUAGUUUAGGCUGAUAGAAUACAGGAAUGCUGGCUAAAAUGGACACGGGGGGAGAAAUCGGAACUUACAGAAUAUAUUCAAGAAUACCAUCAACCUUUGGUUUGUAAGGCGUCUUUGGCUGCCGCCGCCGCCUCGCUUCAACAUGAAAUUUUGUUGGACAUUCUUUACUAGAGGAUUCACCCCUCAGAAAAUCGUCAACUCGAGGAAAUGGAAUUAGAGCAACUCGAUCUUUCUUGUCCCGCCAACCUUCCACCUUUGACCACACAAGAUCCGAAGAAGAAAACUCCAGUGCAGGUGGACUCUGUACAGGAAGGGACAGAAUCUCAUCCCAUCUAGCCAUCUACAAUGAAUAAACAGAAAUGAAAAAUUUAAUAAAAACAAUAAUGCAAUGGUCAUUUUAGCAGAACACUCUAGACCAAAAUCCGGAAGUUAACCUUGAUAGCCCUACCCUAUAAGAAACUACUACUUAGGCCUUGUAUUAUGAAUUCAGCUCAACUGAAGUAAAACGACAUGGUCAAACUUAUACGAAUUGGCUGUUCAAAUCCUAUGCAAAACUCAUGUCAAUAUAGUUUAACACCAGGCCUUCCCAACUUGAACACGUGCUUAACUGCUUAUUGCCGUAGUUUUCAUUCUAGUAUCACUAUCCAAUUCCUUCAAGCUAUCCUCAGUUAAACUCAUCUCUAAUUUCCCAAAUACUACAUUUAACCCCUAUUAUCUGUUUCUCCUUGUAACUACACAUCCAAGUUACAUAAAUACUUCACACUGAGGUAAAUAACAAAUAAUCCAUGUGCACUGGCAAAACCGGGAUUUCAAUUUUGGCUGCAGUGAAACUUAGACUAAACUUUGGUGCUUCCCAAGCAAAAAAGUUUGUCAAAUUUUGGCAACAAUCCUUGUAUUUCUUUGAAAAUUUUCAAAUUAAAAUCGAAAAUUUGCAGCAGCCACUUAAAGAUAAAAUAUAUAAUGCGCUAAACCAAAAUAUAAAAAAAAAAAUUGCAUAUACAUAUUCACGAUAAUUACAGCCUCCAUAUCAAAUUGCAACGAAAUCCCGAACAUAACAACUCUAAAUUCAACAAAAUCACUGUCGUAGUUUGAAUUUUAAACAAAUUCCUAAUAAUCACACCAAACCCUUAUCUAUUAGUUGAAUAAAAGGUUUUUCAAAUCGAAAAACUGAACAAAAAUGGCGGAUUUUGCAGCUGGCUUCAUACAGUCACACAAUAACAGUAACACAGGUCCUUUUUGCCCUAAGGAGGACCAAACAAUGUCAAAAACUUCAAAUCUGAUAACAAGAAAACAAACAAACAAACAAAAAAAGAAGAAACAAUUUAAUUCAUGCAAUACAUUUCCUUCCCAACAACAAGUUCAAAACUUUAGCAAACAAUUUAAUUUAUUUCUUCUGUUUUCAUAACUUCUCAGAGAUUACACAGUCGAAAACACAAAAUUAAAGGCAAAAAAAAAGAGAAUUAUUUGAGUUUUCUGAUAUGUAUUUAGUUGAGCUAUAUCGAUUUACGGACACAAGUAUGUAUGUAUAUGUAUAUAUGUAUGUAUAUUUAUAUAUUAAGGGGUAGAAGUUAGGGUUAGGGAUACCUGGUAAGAGAAGGGCAACAGGGAGAAGGAGGUUGCGCACUUGUGGUGUCUGCGGAGAUUGGAGACGGAGAGAGAGGGAAGGACUGAACCCCCAAAAACCCUUUCGUCGUGUAAUUUUCUCUUUGUGUUUCUACUUCUUGCUAUUUCAUCCAACUUUGCAGUAUUUGCAAAAAGGGCCAACUAUUCUUGAAAAACCCUUAGACUUACACUUUUUCCUUUUUAGUAAAUUAGCUCAUAAUACGCAAAUAAUACACUUAUUUAACAACAAAUUUCUGCAAGUGGCCAUUUACCAGUAGAAAAGUGUUGAGCCAUUGCAUGAAAGCGUGGAUUCAACCUCCGUCGUUGGCUAAUCCAACAUCUAAUUUAACAAAAUUCAUCGUUUUUAGCGUGUACUUUUCACAUUUAAUAAGGUUAUAAAAAGAGAGAAAUGGGAGGUUAUUUAGCAGGAGUCGUUUCGUUUGUAUGCCACGAGGUCCCUAUGGACAAGGGGACAAGUGAAUCAUCGCUUUUGGGCAUAGGCAGCCCUCUACCAUCCAUCCAUUUGCAUUCCAUCGUCUUUUCGGAUGAUCAACCACACUUGGACUGAGACACCUACUUAUUAUUCAAAGGUGAAUCACAAAACACUAAAAGUUGUGGUCUCUCUUAUGGACCUAACAUAGGUCACAUCCCUCAAAAUAUUAACAACUUAAAAAAUAAAAAUUCCCUUCAUUUAUAUAAUAACAUGUGGUAUUCCACCGUAUUCUAGACACAAUAGAAAAUUUCUCGCGCUUGGUAGAGGAGGCAUUUUUGCUGGACUUGCGAGUUUUGGUACACUUCAUCCAACCCAUGGGCCACUUAACUCAGUAUAGUUAUUGGCCUCGAUGGCUUAGCAAAGCUCAAAUCCUUUCCUCGCACCUAGCAAGGCCUAAUCUUGAUGAAGGAAUAAGCCCAUCAGUGCUCGAUAAGAAAUGAUCGUGCGUGAUGACUGAUGGGAUAACAAUCUCUAGAAUCGUGGCCCAGUCAUGAGCCCUCCAAUGAUACUCAGUAAUACGACCUUGUGGUAUUUUUCCUCAUGCGAGAACUGCAGUGCAGUUUUUGUUUUGUGGUUCUGUUUUCUGUGUAUUCAGAAAUAGCAUAUUUGUGUUACCAUUUUCCAUGGGUUGGGGUUCAAAGCUUUACUCGCUUCUCACUAGACCGACCACUUGGCGUUUCACAAUCUUAAUUAAAUACAAAAUUAAAAAGAAAAAUAAAACAAAAGAGGCAACCAUCGAGUGCAUAGAAUAGGAACUACUGAACUAGGAAGUCUGGGAAAAUUGAAAAUUGAGGUUAAAGUGGAACCAUUUUACCUUUAAAAAUCAUCUAUUAACUUGCUGGUUUUCUCUAACCACAAACUCAAGUCAAUGUCACAGAUGUCUCCAAGUACCUAAAUAUUUUCUGUACGAGAAACGCUCGAACCAGUGUUUCGGAGCAGCUGGAUGAAUUCCAGAAACCCGCGCUACAAAUGUCUUCUCACUGGUAGCAAUCAUGGUGGCAAUAGAGUAGCUUUCAAAAUGCAAACCCUUCUUCUCUUUGAGCCACACAUAAAAUCUAUAUCUGGGCAUGAUCCGGUUCUCCAAGUUGAAACAAAGAAAUGAUGGAAAAAUAUUGAGGUACUCCAAAGAAGAUUUCAUUUCCUCACUAAGAAAGCUUACUUUCGCUUCUAGAAAUUCUGGACUCUGAUUCAAGAUCUUCGGUUUCAUUCUUAUCAUUAAACAAAGCCGUGAGAAUUCAAUGCCCGUCGAAAGAAGGAUAUCAAACCGCUUUUGUAACUCGCUGCUUCUGCCAUGCAACUGGGAUAAGCACAUUAGCGUCAAAGGGUUCUCUCCAAAUCCAAUUCUAUGCAUGAAAUCCAGUUUUCCCAUGGUAUGAAUGGGAGUCGUCGUAGAUUGGAUCCUCUCCAAUCCUUCACUAAAUUCUUUCGCAAUGCCUUCAUCAAAGUCACUGAUUACGUAAUUAGCUAAUAAGUUAUGUUCAUUCUUAAUCUUAGUGAAGAACCAUUGAUGAAGAUCCAGAGCCCUUACCAAAUGUGGUAAAUUAGCCAUUCUAUUCUUUCCCAUCACAUGAGGGUACUUUUCACUCACCGCCUCCAAUUCUUUCGCGUUCAAUCCAAAAUGUUUCAGCAACCCCAAUGCUGAUAUCUCCGGCGUUUCCAGGUCAAGGUUUAAAACCUCCGGACUUUGAAGAAGCAGCAUCCCGACAUGUUCCAUCCUAACACCAAAUUUAUGAAAGUAGUUUGAUUUCUGCAACAAAACCUCUUCCGGGCAUUCAAGAAAAAUGUCUUUCUUCCUCCCCAUCAAUUCCCCUACCUUCCCUUUCUUGCAACCCAAAUCGUAAAACACACUAACUUUCUUACAAACACCAUACCAAGCAUCCACAUUUCCCUCAACACAAUUUUCCAAAUUAAAAUCCACAAGAACCCUUUUCAAAUCAACGAGCAAAUCCGCAGUAUCACCGCCCGGCUCGCCCUCCAGCAGCAGCAAAUGAGGGAAAGCCAAGCACAUACCCACAACAGAAUGGUUGCUGAACCCACAUUUCUUCAACCUAGUAAGCCUAGCUUUCAACACCUCUGAACUCUCACUAAAAAUCGAAAUCUCCUCCUCAUACAACUUCCCUAACAUAUUCCAAGGAAACCCAAACCCGGAAAGUAGCGAAGCAACAUCCAAAAGGGUCGGAUCCUCAGAGAAAAAGUACUUGUCGGGAGGCAAAAAGUCACAAACUUGACUGUAAUGUAUGCCAAUGCUUUCAAAGAAAAACUCAAAUUCGUUGAUGGGGUGGUACCUGAGGAACCUCUCGAAGCGGUUGGAGAAAUUCGGGGCCGAAAAUUUGAUCUGCUUGAUGAGAUUGGCUAGGGAGAAGAGGGAGUUUCUGCUGAUGUGCUCGGCGGAGGGGAAGGACAAGCAGCGGGUGGCGUGGAGGUAGUCGGUGAGGACCUGCUGAGCUUGGCUGAUGGUUUCGGACUUGUACCUUGGGGGGACGUUGGGGAGCUUCGGGAGCCUUGCGGCGGCGGAGGCGGCGGCGGCGGUUGCAGCGGAGAAAUGGUGGGAAAGGAGGAGGGUGUAGAGGCAUUUGGGCAGGGGCAUGCUAUCACUCCUUCUAAAGGGCAAAACAUGUAAUUUCGUAUUCGGCUUGGUUUUACAUCCCAUCCCUUUCGUUACUUAAGGCCACCCCCAACUCCAAAUCCCAACUUUCCUAGUUCCUGCCACCCUAGUACCCAUACCCGGGUCCGAGUCCGCCCAAUCGCGGCCCUGAAGCGCCGCCGUGACGACGAGUUUGCUGCGGUGUUCGUUUCCUUCUCAAGGUCACAAGGUUUUCUAUUCCAUCUAUUUUCCUAAUUACUGUUUCUUGAAUUCCUGAUUCAUUUGGCAAUUCAUUGAAAAAUCAAACAGACCAUCAAACCUCUGAAACUCUGCAAUGCUUACACAUCUUAAAUUUCGCCACAUUCUCUGUACAGUUCAAUCCAGCAGGCCAGAAACCCUAAUCCCUUUUACCCAGUUCAAUAGAUAUUGUCAUUUUCAAUCUACAACGGGUUUCUAUUCUUCGAAUCCUUCCUCGUGUUUGGCACCAAAGAAAAUUUCUGAAAACAGUGUUGCGAUUUUCUGGGAUUUGGAUACCAGACCACCCAAAUCAGUCUCACCGUACAAAGCCGCCGUCAAGCUCAAGACUGCGGCUUCAUCUUUCGGGAUUGUCCGGCAUAUGAUAGCGUAUGCGAAUCGAAAUGCGUUGAACUAUGUUCCACAAGUUAUUUGGGAAAGGAAAGAGAGGAAUAGGGUUGUGAUUAGGGAUGGUGAGUCGAAUAUAUGUCCGGUUUGUGGGAGAAGAUUUUAUACCAAUGAGAAGCUUAUGAAUCAUUUUAAGCAGAUUCAUGAGACGGAACAUGUGAAGAGGUUGAAUCAGAUUGAGUCUGCUAGAGGGAGUAGGAGAGUGAAGUUGGUGGGUAAGUAUUCCAUGAAGAUGGAGAAGUAUAAGAAAGCUGCAAGGGAUGUUUUGACAACCAAGGUGGGGCGUGGUUUAGCGGAUGAGGUGGAGCAGGCAGGGUUUUGGAUUCGGAGUGUGUUGGAUAAGCCACAGGGGGUGAAAGUCGCAUUGAGAAAUCACAUUGUGGACAUGAUGGAUCACAGGAGAGUUGACUGUUUGAUGCUUGUGUCGGAUGAUUCGCAUUUUGUGGAUGUUGUGAUGGAGGCAAAGUUGAGAUGUCUGAAGACGGUUGUUGUGGGGGAUUUUGGCGAUGGGGCUCUGAAGAGGGCUGCGGAUUCUGGUUUUUCUUGGAAUGAAAUUUUGAUUGGGAAGGCUGAAAAGGAGGCAGUGUCAGUUGUGGGGAAAUGGAAAGACCGUGAUGUGUUGAAGAGAUUGGAGUGGACGUACAAGCCAGAUGGGGAUCAAAGUUUGCAUAAAUGGAAUGAUGAGGUUUAUGGUGAAAGCGAGAGAUUGGAGUGGACAGACAAGUCAGAUGGGGAUCAAAGUUUGCAUAAAUGGAAUGAUGAGGUUUAUGGUGAAAGCGAGGAUGACGAUAUCGAAGGUUUUGUUGGUGAGGCGAAUCACAAUUUGGGGAAGGACGAUGCUUGCAACUGGUGGGAGCUUGACUCUGAUUCCGAGGCCAUUUCAUUACAAUCAUCCCGAUGACACACGACUCUUUGUGAAACCUGGUCGACUAUCAUGUAUUCUACCGAGUUUGUGAUUUUGGUCAGGUACGUUCAGUUACCUAUUCUUGGCUAGUGUAUGCCUUAUUUCAAGACAUAGUGAAUUGUGUGCCUGGAUUAUCAGUUUCUGUAAGUAAAUUUAAAGAAAUUUAGUGCCCAAUUGGUUUGUAUUUUGUAGGUUUAUGGUGGGAAAGGUGAGCGAAAAGCAUACACAAAUUCCGUUUUGUGGUAGUACUCAACAGAUAUAUCCAUCUUUUACUUUUUUUAUUUUAACUUUCUUGCCGGUUCGUUUUAAAAUUAAUCUAAGAGUCAGGGAGGAAAAUGUUGUGUUAUAGCUACUUGAGCAUGGAUUCGAGAUGAAGUGAUAGAUUGUUGUAGUUAUCCAUCAUGUGAUAAGCUGUGAUUAAAAAACAGAAAUUUUGGAAGAAACAUUCUAUGAAAUGCUGCCUAGAAAGAAAAACAGACGUUUAUGUAAAUGGUUUUACUCUAAUUUAUUUAAUAGUUAAUACAUUGCUGCAAGAGUGUUUGCAUUGCAGUUGGUGGUAUUAGGUUCGCCGAUAUACAAGUAAAGCGUAUAUGAUAUUGUGAUAAUAUUAUUUUACACAUUUCAAAAGAAAACGAAUAAGUUAAUUAAUUGUUGAAAUGCAAUCUAACUAGGAAAAACAGUUAUUUCUGAAAUUGGCAUAAGAAUUAUAAUACUUGUAAACUACGUAUGAUAUAGUAAUGCUAUCUUUUCAAUCUGGUUGCUUGUUCGAGAAACAAGCAUGCUCGAACUUUUACAUUUUACAACGUAUGAAGUUCUCAUUUUCAUGAAUCUUUGGGUGCGUACCAGGUAGCACUGGCAGUGCAGAGGGUUGAUGAGCAUAUAUUCUCAGCUGGUACAACAGCCUGGUGCUCAACAGCCAUCGUGGGUUUCCUGCUUUAAAAUGAUAGGCAAAAACGUGUGCGAACCCAUGCUAUACAGAAAUACGCAACUGAAGUGAUCAAUCCAACAGUUAUAGCUGUUAAUCAUACAAUUGAACAACACCACUCUCACGUAAAUGUAAUCUUCUGUUUCUGUCAUAGAUCGAGUGCCUUUUAUUUACAGUUAUUGAUAUGCCUGUAUUAUGUUGACCUUCGUAAGUUAAGUUUUAUUUUCGGCUUCCUAUUUGUGUAUGCUUGUACUUGUUAUUCCCCCCUACUGCUAGAAAGAUGAAUCAGUUUGGUUAAUUUCUUUCUCCAUUGUGUAUUUAAGUUGAAAAAGGUGAUAAUUUAGGAAACUGAUUGACUUGCUGCAGAAAGUGGAUGAUCUUUUAUGCUUGUGAAACUUUUUGUAUGAUACCAUGCAGCAAACCUCUGCUUCUUUUGCUUGCCAAAUCUUGAUUUCAAAUUAAAUGGCUUCAGUUAAACUCUCUGUCAGAUUAGUCAAGCCUCCUCUUCGUUUUCAUGCUGUUGCAGAUCGUACGGUAUUCGAUGUGUGCCCAAGGUUCCUUUUAUUUUUUUCAAAAAAAGAUUGUUGAGUACAGGAAGAUGCAGAAUACAUAUUGUUCAUUUCUCUGUACAACCCUUAUGUCACAAUUUAGGUCUGAUAACAUUGUAAAUUUAUGUCGGGCGAACAGAAAAACGCAUUCUCGUUCAUUCACCUCUCUCUACCCAGUAAACGCUCGCUUAUGACAAUUUCUUUGGUUGUUUCCUUGCCACUACAUUGAGAGUGAGCGCUGAACUCUGACUUCAUUUGAAGGCUUUACAGAAUUUGUAGUCCCUGUUGGAUGUUAUACAGGAGUUGCAGUACCUGUUUCGAUCGUUGUUAUUUACAGCAGACUUUUGAACAUACAAAAAGACCUGCACAAACAGUUGGUUAUGACGAUGACCGUUCCUUUCGAAUCUAGUAUUGUGAUGCCACCGGUAGCAAAGCGAAUGCUGCAGUCAUUCAUGCCUUGGGACAUUUCUCGACGUUAAUAUUUCUGGCGAUUUCUCUCCGUCGAGUGGCGUUAGGGCAGAUUUCUAAGCAGGGUUCUUUGAGAGUGGCAUCAUCUUCAGGAAGUGGGGGGAGGACACCGAAUUUAAACUGCCGUAUUCAAGUUCAGUUGGGUCAAUUGUAGGACAGUCAAUGUGUGGAAAUGAGUAGAGCUGUAGAGUUCUUGGGGUUUUACCUGGCAGCUGUAAUCGACGAAGUUCGGCUCCAUCACUAACGGAACGCCCAUAUAAUCUUUGAUGAAAGCCUGUAGACCGUUUUUAUGGAUUUCUAAACGAUCAAUUACUACUAAACGGUUUCUACGACAAAGAAUACUUCGUGUUUUGUAGAAACAGUACUGAACAGGCUGUUAACAUCUACUUCGACACUCGAGUUAAUUCGAAAGAGUUACUGACCUGAGUUGGAAGCUUACAAGUAUUCAGACAUAUACCGACGCAUUUGCUUUCUUCCAAGUACUUGCAUUUCUCUACAAACACCUGCAUCAACGGCGAAGCCUCCCAUCCAUUACGACAACCAUUAUCCGACCUCAGAAGGGAAUAAUGAAAGAAUAAGACAGCGAACUCACUCACCCCACUGUUCCAUGAAGUCCCGUCUGGUAAGUCGACUGAGUUUACUGUGCAAGGACCCAUAAGCCAUUGACAAGUAAUUGCAGUCACCCUUGCAACCAUGAUGGCAGCUACUUUUCCUCCUUGUAAGGGUGCUACCAGCAACUUAUAAAGGUCUAACAGUAACGGCGGGAACAAGGAUCUCAAUAUUCUUACCUGCCAUUUCAGCAUAACACUCGCUUAUGGGAAUCAUCCAGUCAUUUGACAAAAAUACUUGGCUCCUUACAUCUAAGCGAAUAAUUUGUCGGUGUGAGGGUCACACCUCGCAACAUAUCAACUAUGUCAGCCCCCCAUAGUAUAACACGUGGGUUAAUAGCUAAAUCUAACAGUGUCAGCAUCAUUAUAAAAAAUGCCUCUAUUUAUAUGGUAUUACAAGUCACAAUUUGACAUUUGUGUAUAAUUCCUCUAUUAUAAGUUUCAGUUAAGUUAGUCGACUAAUAUAGCACACGGAUUAAUAACUACAUGUGACAGUGGCAACAUCAAACUCAAAAAUUUCUCCAUACUAAGUAUUGAUAUUACCUGCCUCAAAAUAGACAAGUCACUAUUUGACACGCAUUAAUAAGUUUUCCUUUUUCUCAUUUAACAAGUUACUUCACGUACCGUCACUAUAUGUUUCAGUUUGUGAUUUGCAGGUAAGGUAAGGAAUAGAGCAACGUUCUUCGUUAAUUUGGGGAUAACACUUACGCAAGUAUAGAGAAUGAGAGAAAGAAAGUAGUGAGUACCGCAGCUUCUUUAGCGUGAGAAUUGGUUGGACUUUUGAGCAUUAGCCGAUUCGCCACAUCAAUGAGUCCGUCGUAUCGGGCUUUUCGGAAUCCCAUCCAACUUCCGCAGCCAUUUUGCUUCUAAACACCUUGAGGAACAAUUCGUCCAUCACUCCAAGCUUCUGCUGCUUCUCCCGGAAUUGGGAUUGUGGCUCUUUUAUCUGAAAAAAAAAAAAAAAAAAAUUGUGGAUUAGGAUUCAGCUACUUUUAAUAUUAACUUCCACAACUGCGAGCAGUGGAUUGCGCUGAUGGAUAAAUCUCCUUACCAAAGAGGAUGAGACCCGAAAGCGUUGGUUUCGGAGCAGCUGAGAUUUGGGUUGGGAUUGAAACUGUGGUGGCGGAGAUGAGCAUGAGAAAAUGGUGGUCGGAGGGCCAACAACAGCCGAAGCCUUCAUUUUUUUGUGGAAUCUCACCUAAAACUCUGUAUCCUCGGAAGCAUGGACCUUAUUUGAAAGGCCAAAUUGCACUUACAGUCCUCCUAGUUUAUUUAAAUUUUCAAUUUUGAUCACAUAGUUUUUUUCUUGCACUUUCGCCCAAAUAGAACCUUUGUUGCAUUUUCUUACUUGAUGGACUAGAUUGAACGUGACAACACGAUUAAAUACAAAAGUGAAUAUUCAAGAAAAGAAUAUACAAGAACAAAAGUGAAAAUAUGAGUAAACUACAUGAACUUCAGUAUAAUUCAAUUUAUUUCAAAUUGUCCCACAAAAAAGGGGCAGUGGCUAAAAAAUGAUCCGUUUUUGACAUUUUGGUUGCUUAAUUGAUUGAAAUCAAAUACCGACGACAUAAUAAUCUUUGUUAACUAAAUAAUGGUAACAUAACGACUACAUGAUAAAAACCGAUCGUUUGGACAAACAAAUGUCAAGUUCGACACAAAAAAAAUA